rnacentral:lncRNA from 1 species
AAGCUCAAGUUGUGGCACUUUUUUGGCUACAACCUAGUCCCUGAUCAGCCCCUUUCCUUUUACCAUGAGCAGGCGUUUAGUGUCGUGAAGGAGCUGGAGGUGGGGAUCCCCCCUCGGCAGGAGGUGGGGAUCCACCCUCGGCAGGAGGAGGGGAACCACCGCCAUCAGCAGGAGGCGAAUCUUUUGGAGGGGAACCAUCUUUUGGAGGCGGUGGUACAGCAUCAGGAGGAACUGGUUUUGCAUCUUUUGGAGGUUUCUUGUCACAGUCAAAGUAGCAGAAGCAGCCGCCUUUCCCUUCACGCUUGUGACAAGCUCCGUGGACUGCCUUCUCCCAUUCUAUGCACUUUUUGUCACACUUCUUGGAAUUACACUUUCCAGACCAAGUCUGGCUCGUCUUUUCACAUAGUUUUCCUUUCACUGUACCGAUUUCUGUUCACAUCAUGCAAAAGUCACACAAGUCUCGUUGUUUAUAUAACUUGAUAUUGCUCUUGAUUGUAAAGAAACAAUUAAGAAACAUAAAUUGUUAGCAUUUAAGGAAACAAAAUCAGAAUAAUAAGUAAAAAAUUGGAAAAGUAUCUAAAGCAACUUGAUAGAUUGAGCACCUGAAAUGGCAAGAACGAAGAGGAGGAGAAGGAUUGUAUAGGUGGCAAUUGAUCUUUUUGCCAUUUUUAAGUUAUAUAUGAUGAAACGGAAGAACCCGCAACACGUUAGAUGAAGAAAAUGUAGAGACAGUUAUGGGUAUUUAUAGAAGAAGGAAGGAGUUUCAAUAGUAUGUUUGUCUAAGAUGAUUAUAAACCAUACGACAAACAACAGAAAUACAUAAAUUACCACACGAUAGGUAGUUUUUUUUGAAAGAAAGGAAACACAAGUUUUAAAUUUUAGCCAUUUUUUAAUACUUCCAAUAAAAUGGUUAGGUUGUUAUCAUUAUCGACUUCAUAAAACCACAAUAGAAUUGCCGGCUUUUAUUUUUAAUCAAGGGCAUCCCAUUGAUAUGAGUCCUAGUACAAAAAAAAUGAGUAAAUUACACGAAUAGUCCCUAUGGUUUACGGUAAUUUACACGUUUAGUCUCUAACUUAUUUUUUUAACUCGGAAGAUCCUUACUUUUUUGUUUUUCUACGUGCUUGGUCCCUGACUUACCUAAAAAGACUAUUUUGCCUUUGAUUUUUUGAUUUAUUUAAAUAAACACACCCACAAUCUCACACUUUUCACCUUAUCUUAUCUACUCCAUCAUUUUUAUAUAUUUAAAUAAAAGUCUUUUUAGCUAAGAUAGAGACCAAACGUGUAACAAAAACAAAUAGUAGGGACAAAGCACAUAACAAAAACAAACAGUAGGAACCUUCCGAGUUAAAAAAAUAAGAUAGGGACCAAACGUGCAAAUUAUCCCAAACCGUAGGGACCAUUUGUGUAAUUUACUCAAAAAUAAAAAUCGUUCUUAGGUUUUUAUAUUUAAGCAAAAUUUGUUAAUACUACCAUAAAUCAAUGAAUGUUAUAAAAGCAAUCAAAUCAAAAGAACCANNNNNNNNNNNNNNNNNNNNNNNNNNNNNNNNNNNNNNNNNNNNNNNNNNNNNNNNNNNNNNNNNNNNNNNNNNNNNNNNNNNNNNNNNNNNNNNNNNNNNNNNNNNNNNNNNNNNNNNNNNNNNNNNNNNNNNNNNUAUAUCAUGAAAAUAUUAUAAUCAAUAUUCUUUGAUAUAUCGUUUUCAAUACUUAUCAAUGUCAAUAUAUUAAAUCAUUUUGUAAAGUUAUGAAUCAUAGGUGAGAUAAAACUUUAAACAACUACAAGCAGUAUAAAACAACGUUAGUCCAUGUUAGAUGUUUUAUACUUUAAAAGUCUUAUAAUUUUUUUUAUAUUUAAAUGAAGUAUAAGGGUUUAAUUAUUAUUUAAAGGGUAUUUUUUACAAUGAUGGGUGUUAAGCCAAAUUAUGAAUGAAUUUGACGUGAUCCGAACGUGUACUAGAGAGUUGAGGAGGGUGAAUUUGGAAAUUUUAGAAACUACAAUUGAAAAUAAUAAGGAAGGUGAAGAAUAUAGUAGGUACCAUUAAUGUAAUUUCACAUUCAAACGUAUCUUGAUAGCCAUUCUGAUAUUGCUUACUUAAAUUAAUAGCGGGUUUUUUAAUAUAUGACUAAAGGCACAUAUGACAAUCGUUAAUUAGAUGACGAGACAUUUGGCUACCUUAAUAGAUUCAUACUACUCCCGCGGUUUACCCGUGCUUAGUUGAAUUUAUUGACUUUGACAUUCAGAGCAUUGGGCAGAAAUCACAUUGCCUUAGCUGUUUGUUAUGGUCUAGUAUGGUGUCUUUGGAAAGCUAGAAAUGAUCGAAUCUUUAAGAAAAUUUUUAGUGUUCCUUUCAGAAUAGUGGAGAACGUUAAAUCCCUUGUGUAUUUGUGAGUGAAAUGUACGGGUAGUAAGGAUUGUUGUGAGUGGGAAGACCAGACUGUUUUCCCAUUUUCGUCGCUUUAAUUUUAUUUCAAUCUAAUUGUAUUGGUAUGUUCUCCUUGCCCCCUUUUAGGUGCGUGCAAUCUUGGGGUAUUUUUAUAAUAUUUCAGCCUUUUCCAAAAAAAUGAAAAUCAUUAAUUACGGCAAUUUUUUUAUAAUUAAAUGUGAAAUAUAUUAAUUAUAAGAAAUAUUACCAUAAUUAAAUAUGAAAUAGAUUAAUAAUUUUCUUAAGAAAUACAUUUCACAUUUAAUUAUGGAAAUAUUUUUCAUAAUUAAUGUUUUUUAUCUAUGCAUUUAAGGCAUAUAUUAGGAAAUCCUUAUAUAUAUAUAUAUAAGGAUUUACACGAAGCAUAACCGGAGGAAUGCAGAGUGUAGUUGCGAAGUGGGUCGGGGUAAGAUACCUCGUACGCUAGCGUACGAGGAGGUACGCUGAGCGUACGAGGGUUAGGUUGAAAACCCUAAUUUUAGGGUUGUACCUUAUAUAAGCAUAAUGUUAGCCCUUUUCCUUGAUUUCUAGGUCAGACUCCACCGUCUCAAAACCCUAAAUCGUCUUUUAGUCUUCGUGGUGGCAAUUUGAGCUCACGGUGUCCAUUUUUGGUAUGUUUGGUCCAUUUCUAGAAGAUGGAGUUUGGUGCAAGGAUGGGAAAAAAUGAAGAGAAUAUGGAUCUUGCUCAUGUGUCUCAUUUCCAGCAUGUUGCAGGUAAAAAGAUUUGAACUUGAUCAUUGAUGUCUUAGAUCUAUCAUUUAUCAGUUUUGGUUUAAUUUGCUCCCGAGAAUGAGAUCUAGUUGUCUUGAUUCCACCCCAGGAGCUUUGAGUUGCCCCUCUUAGUGUUUCUGAGGUUCAAGGUCCAUAAAGUUGGCACCUUUCGAGCUUAAAACCAUCUAUGGUUGAGUUUGGGUCCUUUUCAUGAAAGUAGAAUGCUACACUUUGAGAAUGGGUGUUUUUGGGGCAUGUAAAGUCACCAAGUCAGUGACAUUAUGGUUCUAAACAUCCAUUUAGAAGCGGAUAUGUGGUUUUGACUUAAAGGAUUAAGCAUUUGGAGCUUAAUGAAGGAUUUGUCACAAUGGAGGAGUAGGUUGGGCGUAUAAUUUAGUACGCGCAACGUACAAGCAAAACAACCAAUACGUUUACCGUGCAGUUGAAUACGCCUCAGCAGAAGUUUCGCUAUUGGUCUUCGAUGAGGGCCAUUUGUUGGGCUUAUGUGUCUUGGUCCUAUUUGGCCAUCAGGUUGUGCUCUAAUAGUGAUUUUGAGAAGUCCUACGAAGGGAAUUAGGCCCAAUUUGGAAAAUUGGGCCAUGAUUUGGGCCACGAGUGGUUCUUGAUAUUUUGGGCUUGAGUGGUUAAGUUAUUAAUGGCCAACGAAAUACAAAGUGUUUUGGACGAGAAAGAAUGUUUUGGCCUUAAGGUAAGGCCCAUGUAAGGCGUUUGGGCCCAAUUUGGAAAAUUGGGCCAUUUGUUGAUUAAUUAACCUUUAGGCCUUUUAGUUGUAUGUUUGGGUCUUAGAUUUGGUCAAGGCUAGGUUAGCGGUAAAAUGCUCUUUUUACCCUAGGUUUGGAGUUGUGGUUAUGGAUUGGAACCCAACUGUUAAUUGGGAGUUGUUUUGUGACUGAUAGUUCGGGGAUCUCUCAGCCAGUAGCCAAGGGUGUUUCUGCAUGAUUCAGCAGUACGAGGUGAGUCUUCUCACUAUAUCCAUGGGUCGAAGGCACCAAUGCCCGCCCAUUACGUGUUAUUUGGUAUGCUAAUUGGCUCGGUGAUACUUGCAUGAAGGACCCUGGGAGGAGCCCAUGACAAAUGGAUGUCAGUCCGGGGGGGGGGGGGGGGGAGCCCAUGGCAUUCCAGGUAAAGACCAUGAGGGAGCCCAUGGCAUACUAGAUAAAGACCAUAGGGGGGGAGCCUAUGGCCACUAUAUGUAUGUUGCAUGGUAAUCUAUGGUUGUAUGUUGUAGGGUAUUUUUGGGAACUCACUAAGCUUUGUGCUUAUGGUUUUCAGUUUAUGUUUCAGGUACUUCGGUUUUUAAAUGGAUGGGCUCGAAACGAUUGCAGGGCAUACGCCUCAUGUUUCCGCCUUUUAUGAAUUACUCUGAUUUGUCAAUGUUUUGCUAAAACUUAAUUAACUUAGCCUUAUUUCCUGUUCCUCGUCUGGUUCUGGUCCUAAGGUAGAGUCUUUUAUUAGAGUCUAUUUGAUCUUGUUAUGUGUAUAAUUUGCAUGCAAUAGGCAACUAACUGUAAGGGUGGUAUUUUUAGCAUGAGUUGUGAGAUGUGGGUUGACUGUUCUAUGACUGUUCUUUGGAUCAGAUUGUUACUGCACGAACGCUACUUGCUUUGUGCUUUUCGAAACUCUUAGAUGUGGUGAGUCAACUACUAAGUGAAUAUGAUGCUAUUCAUGAGGUGGAUGACUGGCAUUAUGCGAGUUCUUUAGCGGUUGAUGACAUAGUGAGGUUGGGAACCUAAGAGAGCCUAAGGAGUACUGAAGUGAGUGUGGUCACGUUGUUUAGUGAGAUUUGGUUAUUCAGUCUGAGAAGGUGACUUAGAGGAUUCGAGAUGAUUCUUGAGGAAAGUAUGGAUAGGUGUGUGGAAGGUAGUAUUGGGCUCUUACUAUUGAAAGCACAUGAUCCAUACUCAAAUCGGGGAGAGUCUUGGAGAAUCUAAGAAGCUUGAGGAAGAGGAUUCUUGAGUAUGUUAUGAUCUUCUGCAUGAUUGUAUUUCAUUUUGGUGAUGAGCUUCUAGGAAGGAGGUUUAGGUUUUGGUUCCGACUCAGGUAAGGGUACUGAUCCGAUUAGCGAGUGGAUGUGGGAAUUGAUAUCAUCAAAAAUUACCCGCGGUGUUUUAGAGAAGACUCCUGUGAUUUUUGGUUAGGUCAGAAAGGGGUUUUUCGAGAUCUUGGAUGAGCGCUUGGGAGUGUUUCGUGCUGGGAUUAUGGCAAUCGUUGGAGCUCGCACUCUUUCUUUCCGUGAGCUCCGUGCUUGUGGAGCUUAUGCAUUCUAUUGAGAAAGGGACCCUAUUACCAGUAGGAAGUGGUUAUCGGAGAUGGAUAAUACGUUCCGAACGAGUUGUCUCCAAAGUGCACUUGCUCCUGUUAUUUUGUGUAUUUCUGAUAAUCGUGAGGGUAGGGCAUGAACCCCAACAAAGAGUAGUCGGCUAUUUCAGUGUCGUACCGGGAAGGCUAAUGCUCCAGCAGGUGAUAUUGCGGGUAUGCUGUCUUUUGUUUUUUCUUCGGUUGUUAUUAGUGUUGAUGUUUCAUGAAAUGUUAUAUUAGUUUGGGUAAGCGUUAUCAUGGGUUUAAAUCUCUUUUAAUGAUGGGUUGCACCUUCGAGAAUUGUUUUAUGCAUGUUGCAUACCGUAAAGCGUUGGUGGGUUAUUUAGGGGUUGUAUCAUGUGUAGCGGGUUCCAAUGUGUUUGAUUACCAUUUUGUUUUUGGUCGGAAUCAGUUCGGGGGUAUUGAGUGGAAUGUCUAUGGUCAUAACUCAGCAGGUUAGUUCUCCAGUAUCGUAAGAAUUUAGUGAUUUUUGAAUUUGUUCUGGUAGGAGCAGCAGUUGCCUAUGGAAGAGCUAUUUUGUUCAAACAGUGUCAGAACUCAGCAGGUUAGUUCACCAGUAUCGUCAGGAUUCAAUGAUUUUAGCAUUUGUUCUGGUAGGAGGCAGUUUCCUAUGGAAGACCUAUUGGGUUCAAACACUGUCAUUGCUAGGAAAGGAGUGGUAGUAGGAAGGUGGUGGGUCAGUUGCUUGAGUUGUUGGGUCAUUGGGACAACAGGGCGGUUUCAUAUUUUAUCAGGUUAAAAUCGAUUAGGGUUUACGGAUUCUUCGACAGUGGGAGAUGGGAUGAAGAUUCGUCAGUCAGGGCAAGUGUUAUGAUUUUUAGUCGUCAGCAUAAGAAAUCAAGGAAUUUGUAUGGCAUCAUCGGAGGUGAUUUGGAUUAUGUGAUUGGUUAAGAUUUCAAGAGUAUUGUUAUAAGGUCUAAUUUGGUUGUAAUUAGUCAAAGUGUCAUAGGUCUUCGUAUGUAGUAUAAUCUUCGUAUUCUCUGUAAUCUAUUUUACCAGGGCACAUUAUUCGAAGCUUAUUUGUCUAGUCCUUAGUAUAUUUUUUGUACGCUUUUCAUCUCCUAUAAAUAGGAGUCUUUACUAGAGUUAGAUAAGGUUUUUACAGUCUUGUCUAUUUUGCACUCUGUAAACCUAAAAGCGUAAUAUUGAGCUGAAACAAGAUCUUAUUUACAUCGGUGUUCUAUCUCGCAUACAUUUUGAUUUCAUACUCUGAUUAAUUUUCAUACUCGACUCUUUGAUUCUACAUUUUGUAUAAGAGCAGGAAUCAUAUCUCUGAUCUGAUGUUCAUCUUUUCAAAAGUUUUUAAAUGAACUUUUUGGUUUAAAAGUUUCCGCACUUUUUGAAAAGUGAAAAAUUCAUUGGAUCUUAGUGUGUGAUUAGAUUUUGCACUUCAAUUGUUGAAUCGGGUGUUCAUCUACCGAUUUCAAUUUGAAUCAACUACUUUGCUAUCAAAUUCUCAAAGUUUCUUCAAAAUUCUCAAAGUUUUCUUCCGUACAACAAUGGCGUCAUUCAAUCUUAAUUCCAUGACUUAAUUUUCUCAUUUAUUAGGAUCGUCAACCAAAAUUUCAAUGCUAAUCCCUGAGUAUUAUGAUAAGUGGGUUGAUCGUAUAUAGGAUUAUCUCAAAGGUUUGGAUGAAGAAUUGUGGAUGUGUAUUACUGGUAAUCACAAUCCUCCAUCAAAUGUUCAACCAAUUGGAUCUUCUUCUGGAAAUUCUAUAGUAGAGAAUCAAACUGAUUGUCUGAAAAAGCUGGAGAAUAGAUGCAUGAGAUAUCUGCGAGGAGCUUUGCCUCCAAUUAUGUACAACUAUGUGAGGAGUUGUACAGCUGCAAAGGAGAUCUGGAACAAUCUAAAGGAGAAAUUUCAGGGAAGCGAGAAGACUAGAGUUAACUCAGUGAAACAAUGCAUGGUUGAACUAAAAGACUUCAGAUAGAAAGACGGUGAAACAAUUAAGGUAUACUAUGAUCGUCUGAAUGAAUUAAUCUAUCGAUGCAACCGAUAUGGAAUCACCAGAUCAGUCAUCUUAUCUUCGUUAUGGGUCUUAGAAAGGAGUGGCAAGGUGUAAGCAUGAUGGUUAAGAAUCAAUAGAGCUUUGAUACAUCAACUUUGAAUGAUUUGUACAAUCAGUUAAAAUCACACAAAAGUGAAGUGAACGAAAUUGCUGACGAAACGAAGGCAAGUUUGGGAGGUCCACUAGCUUUGGUUUCAAAAAUGACUCAGAAAGAAACUCAUGAGAAAAGUGAACCUGAUGAAGAAGAGGGAUUCAUUAUGAAUUCUGAUGAUGAAGCUAUAGCGUUUUAUUCGAACAAUCGUGUCAAAAAGUUCAUCAAAAAGCCAUUCAAUCUAAAGAUUAAGUUACCUGAGAUGAAAGGAAGUUUUUUGAAUAAAAUUGCAAGUGAUGAGAAGAAGGAUGCGAAGCUUGUUGAUGGGAAGAGUGAGAAGAAGUUGAAGGGAGAUGCUGGAGUAGACUAUCACUAUCGUAAUGGGACUAAUCAUCUAGCUAAUGAUUGCAUGUUAAGGAAGAAGGAUGAGAAGAAGAAUAAGAUAAAAGAUGAAGCAUAUUAUGCUGAAAGACUGGAGGAAGUUCGUGCGAAGGCGAAAAACAUGUCAUUGGUUGCCAUGGGUGAACAAGAAGACGAUGGAACUUAUCAGAUCUGGUCAUUUGGAUCAGAUGAUGAGGAGACGCAAAAUCUGACACACGGAGCAAUGUUUGCAAAGAUGGAGGAAUCUGAUGAAGAAGCAUACGAAGUAAUAUCCAAUGACAACAAAGGUAUGUAAUAUUCUUGAAUCUUUUAAUAGUCCAGUACAUGCUUAUAAUUUUGAAUUGGUAUCUUUCGAUGAAACUGUUACUUACUUUGAUUCAGUUGUGGUAUAUGCUAGCAAUGAGGCUAAGAAGCUUUCUAUUCAGUUGUUAAAGACAUAGAAGAAGUUAGAUUCGAAAAAUACUAAAGUAGAUUGUUUAGAACUUCAGAUUACAAACAUUAUGGUUGAUAGGGAUAAUUUGUCAAGAGAGAUAAAAGUGUUGUUAGCUCAAAGAAACAUCUAUUGUAAUUCAGCUAAGAGAUUGUAUGGGAAAUUAACAGAAUUACAUCAUUCAUGCGAAAUAAGCAAAGAACAACAUAGAAAAUUAUUGCCUUUUUUAGCUUACGAAAGAGCUAAGGUAGAUAAUAUCUUGUAUGAUUGUGAGAAAGAGAUAGCUGAAUUUGACAAAGUUCUUGAUGAUAGAUAUAUAGAUAUGGAAUAGUCAAAGUAGAUGAAUGUCUUGAUACAACUAAAUUAGUUAAUAUUGUAAAUGAUACUUUGACUAAGUCUGAACAAAUUCCCAUUUUGAAAAAAGACUGAGAAUUCAACAUCUGAAUCUUAAUCUAAUUUUGCUAAUAUUGAGGAUAAUUCUGAUAAUAUUUGUGAAAUUAGUGAACUUGAGGAUGUUGAUUGUUCCCAGUUGUCUAUUAUUAAUGUUGCAUCAUCAUCUAAAGGGAAGGAAAAAGUUAAUGAUUUUUUGGUUAAGAUUGAUAUUGAUCAACCCUCAAUUUCGAAAGUUGGUGAUUUCGACUUCGUCGAAAUCAGAGACAGUCAAACAGAUGAUAGUUAUGAUGAAAAAGAUGAGAAACUUUCGAAGAAAAAGGAAUUUUCAAAGGAAGAAGAAAUUCCUUGUAUUGUAGUUGACCAAGUGUAUAGUGAUACACAAGAGUACGAAAAAGUGUUGAAUGAACAAGGUGCUCAUUACCUUGAAACAAAUAUAGUGGUUUACCCAAAUUUCAAGUGUACAGAUGAUGUCAUUUUCCCAAACCAAGUGUUCAUAACAACUAGAAGCAUUGAAAAUGUCUAAUCAGAAUUAAAGAAGUUGGUUGAAGAAGACAAUUUGAAAACAUUAGAUGAUGGAUCCUUCACAAAUCAAAGCACAAUUGACAACAAUCUUACAAAGAAUUCAUAUGUUUUUCAAAGACAAAAAUCACAGAGAAAGUGGGUUGAAAAAUCAAAGCUUGAAAAAGACGUCACCAAACCAAUGGUUGACGAAAUGAAAAGUGGUGUCAAAUUAAAUUCAAAAGGAAUUCAAAGAACAAAUUGACAAAUUUUUGAAAGAAAAUAACAUGUCAAAAAGACAAGCAAGAAAGAAAACAUUUUAGCAAAAAAUCGAGUCUCAAAAGAUGUUAAAUUAACCGACGAAAUCAGUUAAGACUGUGAAUUCAGAAAAUUAUUCAGACAAAAAGAAAAAUCUCGCUCAAUCAAACAAAAAUGUGUCUAAAUUAAAAUCAACAAAAUAUAUUUUCAAAGUGAAAAAUUCAUCUUUUUCAAAAGAAAACAAACAUAUCAUCAAUCAACUCAUUCUAAGUUUGAAUUGAAUACAACACCAAGGUUUUCGAAAGUGUCAAAACCUAACAUUUCAAGGAAAACUUCAGCUAAUUCUAAUCCACCAAAGAUCUUUUCUCAAUGUCUACAUUUUCGAUCAACUGUUGAUACUUUCUAUGCUGAAUAUUUUGUUUCAAAACCAAAAGUUUAUUUUUUUCCUCAGAAGCCAAAUUUUUCUAAUCAUACGAAGAAACAAACAUUGAAAGCUUCGCAUGAAAAAGGGAUAACUUCAAGAAAGAAUAUUGAUCACUGGCUCGAAGGACGAGGCAAAAUUUAUCAAUCAAGCAAAUACUCUAAAGAACAGAUCAACAAAGCUUAUGAGAAGUAUGUGAAUACUUCUUCAAACGGUAGUUCAACCUCAAAAGAUUCGAAUAUCUCAGUGAAAGCAUGGAAACCAGUCACAAAAGUGAAGACAAUUCAAUCACGAACUCAGAAUACGAAGGGUAAUGUCGGUAUACAUACGAAACCAAUAAAUUCUUACGUUUCAAUCCCUACAAAUGAAGCUGUGGACAUUUUUGAUAGUCUCAAAACUAAAGUUUGUGAUUGGGUCAAAAGUUGUUCGUUAAACUCUUUGUUGAAGUCUAAUUUCCAAGGACCCAAAAAGCAUUGGGUACCUAAAUGCUUUCAAAUAUCGUAGGUACUUUGUGAUGAGCAAUACGAUAACAAAUGGUACAUUGAUAGUGGUUUCUCUCGUCACAUGACUGGGAAGAGGGAGAAUCUUAGAGGCUUUCGAAGCUUGAAAAAUGUUGGAGUUGUUAAAUUUGGAAACAAUCAAAAGAGCCAAGUCAAAGGAUAUGGGAAGAUCAAGAAUGGUCAAUUCACGGUGAAUCGAGUUGCGUAUGUUGAACGUCUGCAACAUAAUUUGAUAAGUGUCUCUCAACUUGUUGUGGGCACUGGCAAUCAAGUUCUUUUUAAUGAAGAGGGUAGCAUAAUUUUGAAUAUCAACACUAAAGUGGUUUUGCUCAAAUCAAAGAGGAAAGGUGAUAUGUUUACAUUGGAUAUCAAUCCGAUUGUAGGAAAACGUGCAGUAUGUCUUCUUUCGAAAGCCACAUAUGACUUAAGUUGGCUCUGGCAUCGAAGACUUUCACAUCUCAACUUUCGCAACAUCAACAAACUUGUUGUUCAAGAUCUGGUAAGAGGUUUACCCGUACUUAAAUUCGAUAAUGAUUCGUUAUGUGCAGCUUGUGAAGUUGGCAAGCAACAUAAACAAGGUCAUCCGAUCACAAUUGAUUCAAAGAUUGUCGAACCACUGGAGCUUUUACGUAUUGAUUUAUGUGGUCGUUCGACAGUUUCAACACUCAACAACAACCGGUAUAUCUUAGUUAUUGUUGACGAUUUUUCCAGAUUCACAUGGGUUUAUUUUCUCAGAUUAAAAUCCGAAGUGGCACAAAUCAUGAUUGAUUUAAUCAAGAAAAUGGAAAUAACAUUGAAAAAGAAUGUUCGCAAAAUCAAGAGUGAUCAUGGAACUGAAUUUAAGAACAAUGUUCUUGAUUUGUUUUUGGUAGACAAAGGAAUUUCGUAUAAUUUCUCUUCUCCAUACACUCCACAAGAAAAUAGAGUUGUUGAACGAAGAAAUCAUUCACUAUGCGAAGCUGCAAGGACUAUGUUGGCGUAUGCGAAUUUACCACAAUAUCUUUGGGCUGAGGCAGUAUCUACCGCAUGUUUUACUCAGAACAAAUCUUUCAUUCACCGGCGUUUUAAUAUUACACCAUACAAAAUUCUAAAUAAUAGGAAACCUAAUGUGAAAUUCUUCCAUGUUUUCGGAUGCAUGUGCUUUAUUAUGAACCUCAAGGAUAACCUUUCGAAGUUUAAACUAAAAGCUGAUGAAGGGAUUUUCAUGGGGUAUUCGCAUAUUUCAGUCGCAUAUCGUGUGUUGAACAAGCGCAAAAGAAAGUGGAAGAAACUUUUAACCUUACAUUUGAUGAUUAUUAUAUAAAACAAUAUGAACAACAAUUUGAAAAUCAUCCAAUUUUGAAAGAAACACAAGAUGAAUCUGAACCAAUGCAAAUGUUGGAUAUUGAUUAUGAUUUGAUAUUUGGAAUAUCAGAUCAUACUAGAAAUGCUGAACUAAAUGCUCCUGAUAAUCAUAUCCCUGAAUUUUCGAAGCUAACUGACGAUUCAACAUCAUCUCCUCAAGAGAUAGGCCAAAGUAUGCAAAAUGAUCCACUGGAGGGGGAGCACUUGGAUUCGAACACUCUGGUCGAGGGGGAGCAUUCUUUCGAGAGGGAGAAUAAGAGAGUAAAUGCUGAUGUUGAGGGGGAGAUAUUACAAAAUAAUGAAAAUUAUCAUGAUGUUAAUGAUGUUUGUUCAAUUGCAGGCUUAGAUUAUGAUGAAUUGUAUGAAGACGCACCUCUGGACUUCGAUCCAACUUAUCCACCUAUGGAAAAAUGGACAAAAGAUCAUCUGAAGGAUCAAAUAAUUGGAAGUCCACAAGAAGCAGUACAGUCAAGAGCUCAGAUUCGUGCAAAGAAUGAGGUAUUAAAUACUCAUCAAGAAUUUUGCAUGUUUAAUGUUUUCAUCUCUUAAAUCGAACCAAAGAAUGUGAAGGUUGCAAUGGAACACUCAGAUUGGGUUGUUGCAAUGCAAUCUGAGUUUUCUGAAUUUGAAAGAAACAAAGUUUGGAGAGUAAUUCCUAAACCUGAAGAUGUUUCAAUUGUCAGGUUAAAAUGGAUUUUCAAAAUUAAAACCAACAAAGAUGGAAAUAUCAUUCGAAACAAAGCCAGACUUGUUGUUAAGGGAUACUCUCAACAAGAAGGAAUUGAUUACGAAGAAACUUUUUCCCCUGUCGUAAGACUCGGGGCGGUUCGUAUAUUUUUGGCUUAUGCAGCUCACAAAGACUUUGAUGUUUAUCAAAUGGAUGUGAAGUGUGCAUUUCUGAAUGGAGAACUCGAAGAAACUGUUUAUGUGGAACAACCCCCAGGUUUUGUUAACGAAGAUUGUCCUAAUCAUGUUUAUAUUUUAGAUAAGGCAGUUUAUGGUUUAAAACAAGCUCCACGAGUCUAGUAUGCAACUCUUACUUCAUUUUUGAAGCAAUCUAAAUUUAAACAAGGAUUUGUUGACCCCACAUUAUUUCAUAAGAAAGUUGGGAAUCAACUUAUGGUUGUUCAAAUUUAUGUUGAUGAUAUUAUUUUUGGGUCAACUGACCCUGCUUUGUCUAAAGAAUUUGAAGACUUGAUGAAAAGUAAGUUCGAAAUGAGCAUGAUGGGUAAAAUAAAUAAUUUCUUGGUUUAAACAUUCGUCAAAGCAGAGAAGAAAUAUUGAUUAAUCAAGAAAAAUAUACGAAGAAUUUGUUGGAGAAGUUUGGAUUAACAAAUAGCUUGAAAUUACGAGUUCCAAUGGAAACUGGCAUCAAGCUAACUCCUUCGUUAGAGAAACCUACAGUUGACCUAACUUUAUACAGAAGCAUGAUUGGAUCUUUACUAUAUUUAACUGCAAGUAGACCUGAUAUCAUGUUUUCUGUAUGUAAUUGUGCUAAGUAUCAAUCAAAUCCUUGAGAACCACAUCUCACUGCUGUGAAGAAUAUCUUUCUUUAUCUUAAAGGGAUUAUUUUGCUAGGAUUGUGGUAUCCUUCGAAUAUUUGGUUCUUUGUUCAAGCAUAUUCACAUGCAGAUUUGGGAGGUUGUAACCUUGAUAGGAAAAGCACAUGUGGUGGAUGUCAGUUGCUCGAUGGAAAAUUGGUGAGCUGGCAAUCGAAAAAACAAACGUGUGUUUCAAUCUCAACGGUUGAAGCAGAAUACAUAGCUGCCGCUACAUACACUUCACAGAUUAUAUGGAUCCAAAGUCAAUUGCAUGAUUAUGCAAUUAAUAUGAAAAAGAUUCCUUUAUAUUGUGAUUCACAAAGUGCAAUAAGAAUUUGUCACAAUCUUUUGCAGCAUUCGAAGACUAAACAUAUAGCUCUUCGUUAUCAUUUCAUCAAAGAUCAUGUGGAAGAUGGAAAUAUCGAAGUACACUUCGAGAAAACAAUUGAUCAGUUGGCUGAUAUUUUCACAAAAGCUUUGGAUGAAAAACGUUUGUACGGAUUUUGGAAGGAUUGGGAAUGAUUAAUGGAAAUUCAAUUCCACGCAAAAAAGACAAAUAGUAAUUAAUCAAGAAUGAGUCAGAGGCGCUGAAUAAAAGACAAAGCAAAAUCAUUCAGCGUUUAGAGGUUACUGUUCAUAGCCAACUCUUCAAACGCUUCGAAUUCGUAUGAUUGUCAUUUUUUUCAGAAGUUUGGUAAAACUUCGUAUGUUUGUAACAAGUACUUUUGAUUGUUAGAGUCACUUCAUUUUCGAAAAGUCAAAAACAUCAAAAAGAUUUUCAUUUUAUUUCGUUCUUUAUUUUCGAAAAAUUCAAAAACAUCAAAAAGAUUUUCUCUUUAUUUUGUUCUUUAUUUUCAAAAAAUCAAAACAACAAAAAGAUUUUGUUUCUUCUUUCUUUUUAAGUACUUUGUUGCAGAUAUUCAUGAAGAUACAAAGAGGAUAAGGUUUGCAGUUCUAGGGUCAGGUACAUCUAUAAUUCUAAUCUUUGAAUUUCAGAUUUUUUUGAACUAGUUAAGAUGUCCCUAGAAGCAUGUUGCAUCAUGUUGUCCAAAACCUCCACUGACUCACUGUGUGUGUACGAAGGCCGUAAUGAAAUUUUCAUACGAAGAUUUCUUCCAAAUCAGGCUUGUAUUCACAUUAGUCUACUGAGCUACCUGACUCUUCUCAUAUGGGUAAAGAGUUUAUUGUUUUAUCCAAAUUUAACAGAGGUACACUUCGUGUCUUACACCAAUGUUUUUCAUCUAAACCUUCUUUCACAAUCACACACGAAGACAUAUGUCCAAGGGGUCUCUGAUCAAACCAAUCGAGACUUAGACAUAUCAUCAAUUUGUGCUAAUGAUCUGACAUCAUGAGUCCGUGAUGAAAGUGAAACCCAAAUUUCUAAGUAUUUAAGGAAUUGUGGGGGACUAUGUUCCAAAUUUUACGACACUUUUGUUUAUGUACCUACUUUCAAAACUCCAAAUCAUAUUCAUUUCGUAUGAGUGGUCUUGAUCAAACAUUCGAAACCCACGAAGUUUGUUACCAACAAGAUCCAACACAAUUUUUUUUGAAUAUGAUUUCCGUUGUGAGUUUAAUUGGAAACCAAAAGUCACUUUCAAUAUUUUUCAAAGCAAAUGUGUCAUUGACUACACUGGUCAAACAAGUAAUUUAUGUUCCAAUUACUCACCUUAUGUUUAGGUGAUAUGUAACGAAAUUUAUGAAGCCACCAUUGAAGCUUAUAAAAGAUGCCCUUCAAAACUUCUCUAUAAGUUUUCGAUUGUAUUUCACGGGAACAUACACAAGCUAGUGAUCAUCUCUCUUGAUGAUUAAGAAGCAAACUUUGCCCGAGGUUUAACUGCCUUGGUGUGAAAUUAAAUUUUUGACAUCACAGAAUCCCCAAAAAAAAAUUAUCAUUGUUUCUUGUCUAAAUUCUUUGGAACACUGCACUCACGAAAUCCUUGAGGUUCUGAGUAAUACCAACUCGGGCUGAUGAUUUCAAACAUCUGGCAUAUGGCAUCGCUUUUUAUCCCAAAAGUAAAAGAGCCUUACAUCCAUCUGAAGGGUUCUGAUGGUUAUAAUUCUCUUGGGGCAACCAAUACAGCCUGUAUUUCAAUGACGUAUGGUCUACUGUCCAGGUUUCAAGGCGAUGGGACAACUACUUUUUGAUGCAUGGCUACAUUAACGGAGUAGUGGUCCGAUUUUCAAGGUGCCAUGUCAGCUGGCAUUAAAUGCACAUCCCGCUUUUAAUUUAAAUAUCAGGGUUACAUAUAAAAAGGAGAUUCAAGGGUCCUUUAUCUCUUUACGCAUUCAAAGAAAAUUCCUAAUUCUAUCUGAGUUUCAAAGCUUCAAAACCGUAACAAUGGCGACUACUGCUAAUGACAAUGAUGAACCUUCUCAAACAGCUGAUGAUGUUUCUUCACUACCAAUCAUGAAGAUUCAGGGUACAAAUUAUCCAGUGGAAUUUGGUGUGUCACAAUAUCCAGAAGAACUCAAGAUGCUCGUUGUUGCUUUGAAGAGCUCUGUUUUAUCAAAGGUGAUGUUCAAUUCUUUCUCUGUUCUGAUUACUUGGUUAUCUUAGGCAGGUUCAACGGCUAUAGUUACAAAAGCUAUUGAUGCAGUUACUUUCAACCUCGUGAAUGAUAAAAAGGUUAGAAUCACCAAAAAGCGUUUCUGUCAGAUUCUGGAUAUCCCAAAUUCUCCACCAUACGUUGAUUUCACUUUCCCUCAAAUUGUUCAUAUGUUCAAUGAGAUGGGACAUCAACCUCAAUUAUCAAAAGUUAGUGACUUCAAGAAGUCAAGUCUUCCCAAAGUCUAGAAUUUUAUGUUUGGGAUUUUCUUGAGGUGUUUAACUGCAAGAACGGUGGGUCAGGAUAAAGGUUGUAUGGAAGUAUAUGCCAUGCUUGUUGGGCUAUACUAUGAUCUACAUGUUGAUUAUUCUUCUCAAUUAUGGAAAGAAUUUAAGAAGAGUGUAGAAAACACGGAUGCUAUUCAUGGUAUUUUGUGUGCAAGAUAUUGGAGUUUAAUCUUGCCGUAUUUCUAUAACAAAGAAGGAAUUUUGGUUCCAAAUGACAAAGACAAAGCAGUUUUUCAUGUGUAUAAUUAUGCCAAGAAUGCUACGGAUGAUGCUGAUGAAUUUGCUUCUGUGGCUCGAAUCCCAGAUGCAAUGCUGAAAACGGUUGAUCCUUCAAACUCUGUGUUAGAGGCUUAUUUGCAAACCAUAAACACAUUAGUGAAAACCGGUGUUUUGUUAAUGAAGGAGGAGAAAAAGUCUAAGCGUGGAAAGAAACGAAUAUGGUUCUUUUGAGAAACCGGUAAAUGAAACUAAGCCUAAAAAGUCUCCAAAGAAGAAGUCUGUUACAGUCGCAGAACCGAUUAUACACGAAGUUUCUGUUGCUUAGACCAAACCUGUUGAGCCUACCACUGUCAAAGAGACUCAAGAACAAGAGAUAAUUCCUUCGAAGACUGGGGUUUUUCCUAGACUUUGAAUGAUGUCUAAACAUUCACAAAAAUAUUCACCCCAUGUUGAUCGAAAGCCUCAAUUGACACACUAAGGUGUGUUAAUUCGCGAAGUUCUAACGCCCGUUUCUCCAUCUUCGAAGAAACGCAAGGCUGAAGAUCUGGCCAAACACUUGUCUCACAAGAAGAAGAAGUCACGAAAGCUUGUGAUUACAAAUGAGUCUACUGAAGAAGGUGAAAGAAUUCCUGAAACUUCUGAUCUUGAUCUCAUUAAAGAAGUCUUAACUCUUGAACAAACAAGUGUUAUUCCACCAGAAGAUUCGAAUGUCAAGUUAUCUAAUGAGGAGACACGAACUUUGGACAUCACUGUAUACGUAUCUAAUACGGAUACAAAUGUCAAUAUGGGUGAAGAAGGUCGGAAUGAUUAUUUUCAAGGUAAUCCCAUUUCCACUACUUCUGAAACUUUUGUCUCUCUACCUCCUCAAAUUACUCCUGUCACCUCUACCACUGAUUUCCUAACAUUUGAAAACAUCAUAAAUCAAACUUUCACUUCCAUAUUUUCUUCACAAUCAACUGAUCCACCCAAACCCACUUCACCUGUUGAUGAAACUGUUGUAAUGGAAACUGAUAUGGAUAACGAAGGUUUUAGAGGAACCUUUAAGGCUUUGUCAUUUGAUGAUGAUGAAGAAGAUUUUCCGGAUCAUAUGCUUAUGAAUAUGAAGUAGUUCAAAAUCUUGAAUUCAAAGUUAAAUUCUAUUAUUCACUCACAAGCUGACCUUGGUGGUGGUUCCUCAGUUUCAAGCUUGGAAGUAGAUUCAAUGUUGAAGAUGUGCAAAGCAAGGAUUAUUAACAAAAUCUUUGGGAUGCUUAGGGAAUCAGACAGAAGGAUAUUGGAAAAAGUUGAUCAAAUUGAUAAUACUAAUGAAUUUCGUAUAAGUUCUCUGACUUAAAAAGUUUCGGAAGAAAUUAAGGACUUGAAAACGUUGCUUAAAGAGAGACAUGUUCUGUUUGCUCAAGAUGUGAUGAAUGUAAAGGAGGAUGUGAAUAUGCAAAUUCGUGAACUUCGUGAAGAUCUGCAAAUGGAGGUUGCAAGUGUUCAACAUGAUUAUGCUUCCUUCCAUAAAAAAGUUGACAUAAUUUGUGAUGUGGUCACUAAAUUUGUCAAAUUGUAUGAAAGUAUGAGUCCUCAACUUACUCAACUUUCUACAAUGGAAAAUAAAAAUUUUGCAGAGGUACUUUUGUUACUCAAGGAGUUGAAACAAUUAUCUGUCAAGCAUGUUUCCUCAUCCUUAGUCACUCCAGAAUUUUUGUCCCAGAAGUUUAUUCAAUUCGAAGCCAUCCUUCAAAAACAAUUAUCUCCUUUUUCUCGCAUUUCAUGUCUUCUACCAGCCAUGUCGGAUGCCCCAGCUGUUUUCAUAGGGGUGCAAGGGGGAGAAAAGAGAAUUGAAUCUACGAAGGCUGAAAAAAGAAGCGAAGGUUAGUGGUGAAGAUUCGAAGGUGGUGGGAAAAGUGUUUUCUUCAAAGAUCGCAUCUUCAAAUCCUGUUAUAAUGUCUGUUGGUCAACUCACUUCGGCUAUUGUUACAACGAUGCCUAUGACUAGACCAGUACAGAAAGGUGUUGUUAUUGGUGAGGCAGCUGGAAGUGCUUCGAAAUCUAAGGUAGUAAUGGGAGAGUCUGGUUCGAAAUAAAAAGGUAAAGGCAUAAUUAUUGAAAAGACUAAAGAAGAAAAGAAGGUUGAGGUCAAUGCUGAGUUGGAAAAGAUGAGGAUGGUUCAAAGUGUGAUGGCUCUUCAUGCACAAGAUCCUCCAGGCUUAGAGAAAGGAGAUCCAACAAAGCAAUACAACUAUGAAACAAUUGAAGCUAAAGUGACAUUUGAUUACAUGUAUUCUUUUGAAAAGGUACCAAAUAAAAGUUGUGUGGUUACAAACAUUGAUGCAAGUCAGCUUAACUUUCCAGUGAAUGAGUUCAUAAUGCCUCAGUUUAAAGCUGAAAUAAUCUGUAAAGACAUGAAUGAAGGGAAGCUGAUGAAAAUUCGAUUUUCAUGCUGUGUUAGCAAAAGCUCUAGAAGAUGUUUGGUCAUUGUUGAAAAUCAAGAAGAUGGGAAAGCAUAAAAAGAGAUGUGAUUUUCGAAGGCGUUAUUCAAAAUCUAAAAUAUACGGUGAUCAGGUCAAAUGGAAAAUUUAGUGAAUUUACUAUUGCUGAUUUUCCUAUAAUGAACUUGUAUGAUCUUAUACAAGUUGCAUUGAUUUUGAAAGAUAAAUCAUUUUCUCAUCUUCAAGAAACAGAGCCUGAUGUAUUCCAGCUUGGAGUUAAGCACAUCAAGAUUUUCAUUGAAAAUUAUUUUGAGUGUUUGGCUCAAACCGAUGUGGAGUUAGCUACUGCAAAGGGAAUUGAUAUCACUGCUCCAAUGGCUCCUACGAAGAAGCAAGUUGAUUUGAAAAAGUAUGAUGAUGGAGAAAUAUGUUUGAAGCCAUUUGGAAUAGUCUUUGCUGGAAAGGAUAAAGUUGGAAGAGCUAAACGGUUUUUGUUCAGAACAUGUGAAGUGGACAGAUAUGCUACUUCACAGUAUACGAAUUUGAUUGUUUGUAUGAAUCAGUGCAGGAAGAAUAAUGAAGGGGAAAAGAAGGUGAUCAAGAAGGUUAUUACUUGGUAUAUUGAGAUACGAAGAGUGAUGAUGUACUCAAUCCAACUGCUUACAAACUGAAGACUUCGACUAUAAUUACAUAAGGGAGAUUGUAAGGGCUAAUUUGGUUGUAAUUAGUCGAAGUGUCAUAGGUCUUCGUAUGUAGUAUAGUCUUCGUAUUCUUUGUAAUCUAUUUUACUAGGGCACAUUAUUCAAAGCUUAUUUGUAUAGUCCUUAGUAUAAUUUUUGUACGCUUUUCAUCUUGUAUAAAUAAGAGUCUUUACUAGAGUUAGAUAACGUUUUUAUAGUCUUGUCUGUUUUGCACUUUGUAAACCUAAAAGCGUAAUAUUGAGCUGAAACAAUAUCUUAUUUACAUCGGUGUUCAAUCUCGCAUACAUUUUUGAUUUCAUACUCUGAUUAAUUUUCAUACUCGAUUCUUUGAUUCUACAAUUCUUCAGGAUUUCAGGAGUUGGGUGAUCAUUGAGUUUGACUAGCAAUGGAACGCUAGUAUUGUUUAGUGUAGGGUAUGGGUGGUUUAUGCUAUUUGAGGGAGAGGGGUCGGAGAUCCACAUGGAAUAAGAGGUGAGAGAGCUUCGUCAAGUCCAAGUGGGGGAGAUUUAAGUGGCUAUUCAAAUUUAGGUUGUGUGGUGGGAGUUCAGGAAACUUCCAACCGUUGGGCGACAUCUCCUCGAUUAUGCAUAGGAGGUUGUGGAAAUUUGAAUGUGUUACCCGAACUCAUUGGUUGUAGGAUUCAGCUCUGGAUACAUGGUAUUGUGAUGAUUUGAGUGUGGUAAGGUUGUGGGUGGUAACCAUGGUUGGUUGGAAGUGUUGUAAGACUGCAAUCGGAUCGUAGCAUUCACCAGUUCGAGGUGGACUGACAUUGAGUUGGUCAUGAGAGGCAAGGAGGGGAAUCAGUAUGUGCCUUGUGCACACAGGUCAGGAUCAUUGAGAAGUAUCCUCUAUGUUAGGUUGAGGACCAUUGGGGUCCGAGGCAGAUUCGGUCUUGUGUAACUCUAGAUGAGUAGGACUCGUGGGCAAGGCUUGUAUGUUUAUGGCAAUGUAGGUGGAACCUGGUAGAGAAUGUUGGGUCAAGGUAUUGGAUCUUGAGUUGUAGGAUCAUGUGCAAGAUUGAUAGCCUCAGAGAUGGUUUGGGGGAGUAUUUAUUUAUUUAUCAGGUGAGGGGUCAUCGGGAAUCAGAAGUUUGUGGUGUGAAAUGCAAGUACAGAUUUGUGGAUCUUGGGUUAUGAUUGGAGUAUCAAAUUGGCUUUUGGUAAGAUCUCAAGUUGGGUAUCGUGCAUGUUAUGUGCAUGAUUUUCGUUCCAAUAUAAUAAGAAUUUGGGGUAUCUAUACGCCAAGGGCAUCAAUCACAUGGUUCAAGGGUAAUAAUUAGGUUUAGUUUUGAUGGCAUGUCCAGCCAUUGUGUUCUGCUUUGGGUUGGUUCUGUCUGUUGAAGGGCCACAACGUGUUUGGAAUUCGGAGAAGGUAGGUCGUUGGAGACCGGGAAUGACAUGAGACUAUAGUUGGUCUUGUGGAAUUCUUCUAGUAGUAAGUAUGGUGUCGAGGUGGUUUGAGCUAUUAUCACCAGAUAAGGUUACUCUUGGGAGCCGCAUGGGGCUACAUUGUGUUUUUGCAUCUUUUGGCUCAGCAAUCGAGUAGGAUUCCGGUGUUUCAGAUAGUUGGAAGACAAGUUGCGACCAGGGAAGCCUCGACUUCUUUUGGAAAGCAGCUAAGUGGCAGCAAGAUGAGUUGGAGUGGUUUUAGUAAUUUGGUACUCGUGUGUGGAGUCGCUUGUGAUUUGGGGCAUAUGAUAAAUCGCUCGCAGUGGGAUUAAAUAAUCUUAGAGUUGUUGAAUAGAUCCGGUUGCAUAGCUCUUGUAUGAGUGUAACCGUUACAGGAAGGAAUCUUCUACUUGAAGGUUUAUCUAACCCUUCUGUCAAGGGUAGCCUUUUGCAGCUGUUCAUGAUCAGAAAUUUUGUUCCUAUGGAGGUAUCACAAUAAUUACGUUUGGAGGUAUUUUGUUCUGUCUGGAAGUCAUGUGGAAUGGUACGAUAAUGGUUCAGUGUGAUCGGUCUUUCGGUAAGUCAGAUCAAUGUGAGAUUUCGGGUUUCGAGAAAGUUAGAGGUGGUUUUCUGCAAAGGGGUUAAGGUAUGUUCUGCUUCAGGUUCGGUGAAGUUUUAGAUGGGUUUUGAGCACUGCAUCAUUCCUAUGGUGUACAUGCAAACCCUAAAGCUUUGGAUCUAGUUUGUCUAAUGAACAUGCAAUAAUCAUCCAAAGCCAUAAACCCUAAAUCUAGCAUGUGAUAAUCGAUAUUAACAUAAGAAUAGGUUUUAGAUCUUACCUUGAUUGUUAUGUUGUAAUAACAAUCUCAAUUCCUCCUUGUUAUUGGCUUCUGAAAGCUUAGUGUCACAAAUGUCACACCUCUAAUGGCUCACAAACACCAAGAGCAAGAGGAUGACUGAGGAGAAGAGAAGGAAGUACUAAAAUUCGUCCAAGAACCUUAAGGGAAGCUUAGCCACGUUUUUGGUGACCUAGAGGUCCUUAUAUAUGUGAGGCUAUUAGGGUUUUGAACUAGGAAACCCUAAUCUAACUGCUUAGGCCCUAAUCAACCCAUGGACUACCUUUAGAACACCCCUUGGACGAAUUCCUUAUGGGAUUCCAUAGAAUUCGUCCAACCUAUGUUCCAAGGUGAUCCAUAGCCCAAUUACAACUAUCUUAUACUUACAAUGUCAAUCCCCCAAGUUUAAUUAAAGUCUUUUAGCAACAAAAUUAAUUUCCUAAUUAAUUCUUGACUAAUAUUAAUUAAACAAUAUGAUUCUUCCUUUAAGAUAUAUCAUUCAUAUAAUAUAUUAAUAAAUCAUAAUUAUUCUUUUUCUCCAUAAAUCAUCCUAUCAAUUUGCUUUGGUGAAGGCAACCCAAAAGGACCAUCCUCACAAUCGGGUCAAGUACAUACCAAAAUAGUUAUGGGCUUAGACACUAAUUCAACAGUCUCCCACUUGGAUAAGUCUAAUAACUAUUAUGUGUAUGACUUCAGAUCCUUAUCAACACUCGUAGCUUUCAAAUGUCGUUGUCAACUCUGAUCUUAUCAGAUAUGCUUCUUUAGAUAAGCGAUCAUAUAUUCCUCCAUUCUAGAUAUCAUAUAGACGUGAGACAUGGAUUGAAAUCAUUCUCUCAGUCUAUGUGUUGUUUCCCGAUUUCCGAUUUACGACGACUGACUAAUUAAACAAAUCAAAUUAGUCCUGGCCCGACCGAGCACUUAAGUUUGUCAUCACUAAAUCAUCAAGGGGCCCACAUAUAUCAAUUUUAUCCCACUUUUAGUAAAAAGAAUGGAUAAAAUUCAACUCAAUGCUCACUUGUAUUCACUCACCGAAUUACACACAACAAUACGUUUUAUAACACCAAGUUACUGGUGCGUUUACAUAUUAUCAAUGUGUAACCGACUCGCAAAAUACAACUCACACAUCUCGGUUUCAAGAAUAUAAGAUAUUAUCGUCUCACCAAUCACUCGUGAUAAAAUCCAUGAAGCGAUCCAAGUGAGCGUGGGUUUAAUCCAAUGCUCAAGUCUUAUUCAUAAGCACUCAUGAACGUUGCAGCAAACCUUUUCUAUGUGUAAUACACUUUAGACAAUCUACAAACCAAUUCUUGACAAUCUUCUUUCUAACCUACUCCCAAUGUAUGAGCGACUAUGGAUCGUUUGAAUAAUCUUACUAUUCAGGAAGUCAAAACAUGCAAAGUGAAACACAAUAAUAAUCGAAUCCAAUAAGGCCCCAAAAUUUUGAGUGUAAAUCAAACUCCUUUUAUUUAGUCACCGUAUUGAUUACACAUUAUUCAUUGUAUAAUAUUUCAAGUAAUUAACUUAUUAUUUGAAUUAUAACAACAAUUUUAUGCUCUUAGCAUGCACACUAUGUUUAUCUAUGGUCCUUACUUUGUGAAAUAGUAUAAUUGAAUAACAAUCACACUCAUUUUACAAUUCCCAAUCCUUACUACAAGUGUAAGAAUACGAAAUUCUUGCCACUAGUUGACCAUGUUAGAUUCUAACAUUUUAUGCAACGAUCCUUUCGUAAUAUCAUAGAACCAAAGUCACAAAGACUAGGGCCAAUGAAAUCACAAAGUCCUCUAUUGGAGAUUGUUCCAAGAGAAUUCCAUAUAUAUGAAGUCUCACAUUCAAAGUACAUUUCUUUAAACAUCAUUCUUGCAUAAAAGUUUCUAAUAUAUACAUAGAUUCUUAAUAUCCAACUCCCACAUAUGGAAACAUUCCAUAUUUGCCAUAUGACAACUCAUUCUAAAUAGAAUGCUAUUUAUUUGUAAUAAUGUCGAUAUGGUCCAUCCAUUACUAUACUUCCAACCACCCAUAAGCAACCAAUCCUUGGCGAACCUUAGAUUGUCCUUGAUAGUUGUUUAAUAAACUUAGUCAUGUCCGGUUCCAGUCCGUUUUCCCUCUUAAUUCCCUAAGCAUUUAGAAAAUUUUAGAACGGCCAAAUAAUAUAGCCUAUGCGAUCAAUCCUAUACCCGAAGCGUAUGGAACAGGAUGCAUAAUAAAGAUGUCAUACUUUACCAGUCUUUUGCCAUAAUAUUUCUAUUUGUCAUGUUCUCACAACGCGAACUACGAAAAGGGAUGUCGUAAUCAUAGUAGAAUUUUGAGAACACAAUUCAUAUAUUUGAGUAAUAAAAAAUCUCUCGAUCUAAGCUCUUAGAUUUCAAAACGAAGUAUAGUAUUCUCUCCCUUAAUUAUAGCAAACAACCUUUCAACCCUUGCAACUUGGCAAGUAAAACUCUUGUUUUCUAUAAUUAAUAUUUUUGGCUCGCAUCUUUUAAAAGUAAUAAUCAUGCUCCCACUAACAUGAUGAUUAUAUCUUUACCAACAUAACAUUUAUGCUCCCACUAGAUUUGACAUGUAUUCAGAAAACAAAAGGACUCUUAGAAAUCAAUGCUUAUUGACUUUCUUCAGUUUAUAUUUCUAAUACUAAAUGCUUCAUUAAAACUUUAUCUAAGCUUCUCUAACUCAUACAUCUUUCUUUAGACAACCCAUAUGUUUGUCUAAACAAUGCUAGAACUUAUAACAAUAAGUCUAAAAUGUUCAGACCCAUUUUCCAUUUCCCAUAAUUAAAACUAUGAAGAGGGAUGCUGUAAUCAUAAUCGAUUUCGAGAAACGCAAAUUACUAAUGCUAUCUUCAAAAUCUCUCUUAGUGAAAGCAUUUCCUAACAAUAAUUUUCAUGAAGGAGAGAAACCUUAUGACACUUAGAUCUUGUCGUGUAUGUGCUCCUAUCCAUGUGAAUUUGUCAUAACCAUAAUCAUAAGACAAUGUUUGUGACAAAUCCAAACUCUUAUGGACAGAAAUUGCUCAUUCUUAAUUGCUUGCCAUCAAGGGUCCCACCAUUGCUUCUAAGUUAUUGAUCAGCUCACCCUUAUCCUUCAAUGUACUUUCCAUUUAUCAAGGUCCCUUGCCUCUAUGCAACCCCAUGAGAACUCAUUGAACUCACAUGCAUAGUUGACCAAACUGGAAUGGCACAGAAAGAAGAAUAAGUGAACACGAUAGGUUAAAACCUCAAGUCGUGUGCUAGCGUUUAAUAAUAGGUUUACUCUUGAUUAGUUCUUGAACCGUUUUUCAAGAUCAUUUAGACUCCCACUGACCUCUUGACAUAUAAGAUUCCCAUGUCAAGAAACAUUUCUUGACAAACAAAUACUCAAGAGUUAGUAUGUGUCUUUAUCAAGAAAAAACCUACAUGUGUGUAUACGCAAACCCUAAAGCUUUGGAUCUAGUUUGUCUAAUGAACAUGCAAUAAUCUUCCAAAGCCAUAAAUCCUAGAUCUAGCAUGUGAUAAUCGAUAUUAACAUAAGAACAGGGUUUAGAUCUUACCUUGAUUGUUAUGUAGUAAUAACAAUCUCAAUUCCUCCUUGUUCUUGGCUUCUGAAAGCUUAGUGUCACAAAUGUCACACCUCUAAUGGCUCACAAACACCAAGAGCAAGAGGAUGACUUAGGAGAAGAGAAGGAAGCACUAAAAUUCAUCCAAAAACCUUAAGGGAAGCUUAGCCACAUUUUUGGUGCCCUAGGGGUCCUUAUACAUGUGAGGCUAUUAGGGUUUUGAACUAGGAAACCCUACCCUGACUGCUUAGGCUCUAAGCAUCCCAUGGACUCCCUUUAGAACACCCCUUGGACGAAUUCCUUAUGGGCUUCCCAUAGAAUUCGUACAACCUAUGUUUCAAGGUGAUCCAUAGACCAAUUGCAACUAACUUAUAAUUACAAUGUCAGUCCCCCAAGUUUAAUUAAAGUCUUUUAGCUACAAAACUAAUUUCCUAAUUAAUUCUUGACUAAUAUUAAUUAAACAAUAUCAUUCUUCCUUUAGUAUAUAUCUUUCAUAUAAUAUAUUAAUAAAUCAUAAUUAUUCUCUUUCUCCAUAACUCAUCCUAUCAAGUUGCUUUGGUGAAGGCAACCCAAAAGGACCAUGCUCGCAAUCGGGUCAAGUACAUACCAAAAUAGUUAUGGGCUUAGAAACUAAUCCAACAGUUUUGCUAGGAUCGGUUUCGGUUGUCUUGGGAAGGUUGUGGUAUUCUAGGGUUGUGGUUGUGUUUCUCAGAUUGUUUGGCAUGUUGAGAAAGGUAAGGAUGGAUUUUGAGGAUGAAAUCUAAUUUAAGUGGGAGAGAGUUGUAACACCUUGUUUCGAAUUGUUCCGUUGUUAGGGACGGUGAUUAGGGAUAGGGUAUUAGCAGGCUUCAGAUCCUUGAUGAUUGAGUUUUGGUCCCAGUUGGAGUUGGAUAACGUAAUCCAGAUGUUUCAGGUAAUCGGUUUGUGUUUAGAAUCAAAGGGCAUUUCGGUAAUUUUCCAGUUUGGCCUUUUAUGAAAAGUAGAUUUUCGUUCAGGAUAUCUUAUGGAGGGUAUGAAGUGAUAACAGUGUUGAGCAUCUCGAUACCUUUUGAUGGAUAUAUAAAUAGUCGAAAUCGGAGUUGUAUCAAGAGAGUUAUCGUGUUCAGAAUAAUUAAGGUUUGGGAAAAGCAAAGUACGUGUGGCGUACGAAGGUGGUACGCAGGGGGUACCGAGGCGAAGGGAGUUACAUGAGGCGUAUCUAGAGGAACGUGGAGCAUAGUUGCGAAGUGGGUCAGGGUGCGACACCUCGUACACUAGACGUACGAGGAGGUACGUUGGGCGUACGAGGGUCAGGUUGAAAACAAUAAUUUUAGGGUUGUACCCUAUGUAAGCAUAAUUUUAGCCCUCUUCCUUCAUUUCUAGGUCAGCCUCCACCCUCUCAAAACCCUAAAUCGUCCUUUAGCCUUAAAUGGUGCACUUUGAGCUCAUGGUGUUCAUUUUUGGUGUCUUAGGUCUAUUUCCAAGAAGAUGAAGUUUGGUGCUGUUGGAUUAGGUGUCUAAGCCCAUAACUAUUAUUGCUAUGUAUUCGACCCGAGAGUAGCAUGGUCCAUUUGGGUUGCAUAACAUCAGGACAAUUUGUUAGGAUGGACUUUUGAGAGAAGAGAUUAUAUAUGAUUUAUUAAUAUAUUAUAAUUUAUAAUAUAUUAAUAUGAAAUCAUAUGUUUUAAUCAGUAUUGAUCAAGAAUUAAUUUGUAAUUUAUUUAGUGAUCAAAAGAUACUAAUUAAAUCUAUGGGGACUAAUUAUGAUAAUUAGUUAUACUUAUAUGUGUUCGGCUUAUGAUCCAUGUUGGACCAUGUUUAUGUAUGGAUACAUAAAGAGUUGGGCCACAUGAACCAUGGAUCAUAAAAUCCAUGGGUAUGGAUUUGGGUUAUAUCUAUGACCCUAGAAAUCCCACAUAUAAAUAGAUACUUCAUUGCCCAAAAUCGCCACUUGUAUCAUCUUGGAGUUCAUGGAGGUUUUUGGUGCAUGGAAUUCUCUCUCAAGUUCAUCCUUUGUCCAUGGUGUGUUGUGAUUCCAUUUGAGGCUUCCACACUAUUAGGGUUAAGCUCUUUAAGGCCAAAUACAUCAAGACUUCAAGCUCCAUCAAAAGGUAUGUUAUACUAAUUAGUAUCUCAUAUGGUUUAUGUGAAAUGCAUGCUAGUUGUAAGAUUAAUACCUUGAAAACCAUUUUCAUGUGUAAUUAGUGAAAACAUAGAUCCAAGGUAUUUAGGGUUGUAUGUGCACCAUAGGAUGUUGUGGUAUACCAAAACCCAACAGUGGUAUCAAAGUCGUGGGUUGUUUUCAAUUAUACUUCAUGCAUGUUGCUGAAAAAAACUGAAAAAAUCGAAUUUUUUGGUGUUUGGACAGCAGACUUGACGCGUCCAGUGAUGGACUCGAUGAGUCCAUGAACAAAUUCAUCCAACUCGUCGAGUUGGUUCAUGCACUCGACGAGUUAGACCCCCUGACAACAUAUCUUCGAGUUUUUUUGGCAUGUUUUUUAUUAGAAUGAUUACCACAAAGUGUUUUUGUUCAUAAAAUUUGUUUUUUUGGUACUAUGGUAAUGUUUAUUCUCAUCCAAAUAAAGGAUAAUAAUCAAAGUUUCAAGUUUUAUACAUGUUUAUAUGAUGCUUGAAAAAUGUUGAUUAUGAAUGUUCAUGUUUAUGAGUUUGUUUAUAUUAAUAGAAAAUUUUACGAGAUAGUUUUUUCAAUCCAAAUUAAUCUAGAAAUUGGUAAUAAUAUGUGUUUUGUAACUUGUCCUCAAGUUACAUGAAAAGUCACAUUUAUGAAUUUUAAAAACUCAUAAAAUUGCCAUAGGUUACAAAAUGAAGAGUCUUUUGUCAUAAAUAGUUUUAUGAUCUCCAUAACUUGUCCUCAAGUUAUGGAUGUUCAAGAGUCUCUUCAUUAAUGUUUUUUUAAGACCUUAAUUAAACUCAUGAGUUAUGAAAAUCCAAGGGUUUUGAAAAGUUUCAAAACUUGCCCUCAAGUUUUGGAAUUUGAAAAGUUACCCCCCAUAUGCACUUCAAUUCCAAACUCUAGAAUUUUAAAAGUUAAUGUUCAAACUUUCUGGACUUCAUUAAAUAAAUUAAAGUGUUUAAUUAAAAGAGUUAAUAUUCCAUAAAGAUAUGGUUUAAGUUUAAUUAAAUUAAGAGUAUAGUUUAAUUAAUAGAUUAAACCACUAAGUAUUUUAAAUGUUUAAAAUACACCAUUAUACUAUUAAAAUAUUAAUAGUUAAUACUUAUAUAUAUUUAUAAGAAUAGAGUCAGUCAUACCGUUAGUACGCCUCAUUCACGAAGUCGGUCUAUAAGGGGGGUAUAAGGUUAUUGCCUAUAAAAUGGCAGNNCGAACGGGUUUGAUAGGACUAUAAUUCUCCCUUCAUUAAAAGUAUAAUGAUAAAUACUAAGUAACUAAACACUUAUUAAAUACCCAAUCUUAGUUACUUAGGAAAAUGUGAAUUUGGUGCUAACCCAUGAAAUUCACACUUUGUACCUUACCAAGUCGUUGGUGGAGCGUGUGUGGGGAACCGACAUACUAACUUGGACUAGUAAGGAUAACAAAGGAUGACUUAAUGUUUAGCAUAGAUCAGUGGAGCGCGUGUGGGUAACCGGCACAUCGAUUAGGUGAUAAUAUUAAGGGUACCAAGUGAAUUUGCAUGGUUAUUCACACCUUGUUUUAUGAUCCUUGGCAUCCCAGUCACAAAAUUUGAGAGAGAACACUCGAGAUUGAAACAUGCCAGUGAAAAAGUUCAAUGAAUCUAGAAAGAUCUAGGAGUUUCAAAUCCAAUUAAAACCUAAUAAAUUAUUUCGUUUUUCAUGGUAGAAAUUGGUGAAUCGUCAUUCGCCUACCUUCAAAUAUCUUAUAGCUUGGGUUACGGCAUCCCUCUUCCAAGUUAUAAAAUAUUGUGUUGGGUCCUAGCCUUAAUACUUCAUAUUAGGUGUUGAAUUAAGGACUUAAAAAUCAACUAACUUGAAUAUCUCCCAUUUUAGAUGUCUAGUUUAGACAUCUAUGAUCUACCCAAAUCUCUUGGAAUUUCACUUCCUCCACCCCCUCCAAUUAUUCUCCCUAACCCACAAGUUCAAGGUCACUCAUGCCCUAUUGGCAAGCAAGAUCUACGUGUGAUCACAUCUUGGAGAUGAAGUCACACAUUGACAAGUCGGGAGAGUUGGGUGUCAAAGUCUUGAGAAAUUUGGAUGUUCAAUCACUUUCUAAGUCACAUAGUGAGUUCCUUUGGGACUACUAUGAAACAGACUAUGACAUGACCCUUUAUGAUUUUUUAUCUAUUUGAUUGGUGCUACUGAAUCAAAAAUGAUUUGAGGACUAGUAAAACAAAUUUGAUUAGAAGAUCAACUUCCCAAUCCCUCUAUUGCUGAAGGAUGGGCCAUUGGGUGCGAAGCUGCCUAAUUUACCUUAACAAUCAUAAGGUUGGUAAAGUCAAAGCGUUUGACUAUACUUUGGGUAAAGUGCACUAUCUAACUCAAUUAAGUUCCUAUUUGAGAUUCUUAUACAUGAUGUGACCAGAUCACAUUUUGAUGUUUUGUAGAAUCGAAGAGAGGAAGCUUAAAAGAAGUAUAUGCUGAUUCUCAUGAAGAUGGAUUUCGAUCGCAUGGUUCAGUGAUCAGAAUUGUGAGUUGUUGCUUAAGAGUUAUGAUAUAUUGCUUAGGAAUAGAUAACAACAAAUUUUUCAUAUGUAUUUGCAUUUUAAGGAUAAGUUUUUCCGCAAGGUUUAAAUAAAACUUAAGGUUUUAUUUUAUUUAUUUUAAAUAUCCUUACAGUGGCAUUUGUGAAAAAUGGUUGUUUAUAUGAUUCCAUUGAUAGCAAUAUUGGAAAAUGGAUUUGAUUCUUUCGGAUGUGGUAGUGUCAUAAUUUACCCAAAAGAUCAAUAAGACUAUUCGUGUGUACUAGUCAAGUCCACCACAAAGAUCAAUAAGACUAUUCGUCAUGAUUUACUAAAGUUUAGUAAAUAUGGUUAUACUUACAAGUUUAAUUAUAAUUCUGAAACAUUAGAAAAUAUUCGAUGUAUGGCAGAACGAAUGAGAAGAAUCAAAUUAGGCAGAAAGAUAAAAGUUUCUCAAAUCUGAAAAGAUGGGAGACUAAUUUAGUAUCAUGUUUUAUGAUCAUCUUAAUGAUUAACAUACCAUAUCACAAUUGAUCCUCUAAGGACAUCUUAGUGCAUUCUUAUGGCUAAGAAGAGGAGUCAUGAAUUGUUGGAAUGGUUAAAUCAAGAAGAUGAGUCAUACUUCGUUCCAAAAACAAAGUCUUAGGGUCAUAUUCCAAGAUUGUAACUUGAGUGACACAUCUUAAAAAGGUUUAUUAACACUAGUCAAAUGUAAGAGUAAAAUGUUUUCUACUCUUGUACAUUUGAAAUUGGUAAGUUGUGAUGUUUUGGAUAAAAUAGAGACUAACUUAGGCCAAUUGCGUGAAGUGUUAGUCUUGAUAAGAAUCCGCACUAUCCCUUGAAUAUUUGUUUUGUAAAGGAAUAGUUCUUGACAAGAGAGUAUUAUAUGUCAAGAGGACAGUGGGAGUCUUAAAGGUCUUGAAAGUUUCUGGAACUAAUCAUGGAUAAAACCUAUAGUUCUUCACUAGCACACGACUUGAGGUUUAUAACCUAUCGUGUUGACAUUUCUGUGCCCAUUCCAGUUAAAGUUGGCUUUGCAUAGGAGUUCUGAGAGUUCUCAAUUGAUUGCAUAACUACUUGGAAGCAAUGACAGGCCUUUGGGCUGCCAGUUGGCAAGAAGUUAAGACUGUACAAGUUCAAUUCAUAUGAAUUUGGAAGUCACACUAACCUUGUCUUGUGAUUGUGGUUUUGACAAAAUUCACAUGGAUAGGAAUUCAUACACCAUAAAAUCGAAGUAUCAUAAGUUUUCUCUCCGAUUCAUGAAAAUGAUGGUGAGGAAACACUUUCAUUAAGUAGAUUUUUAGUAGAUAGCAAUUGUGACAUUUGCAUUCUCAAAGUCGUUAGUGGAGCGUGUGUGGGUAACCUGAAAACUAACAUAGACUUGUGAGAAAUGGCAAAUGUCUAAACAAUUGAGACUAUGAUUACGGCAUCCCUUUUCAUAGUUCUAAAAUUGUUUAGACUCACAUUUGAGCUAUCUAAGGAAAGGUGUAUGAUUUUCAUAAAGUCCUAUCAAAGCAUCUUGUAUCAUAAAUCUGAACUUUGGUAAGAGAGUCAAUAAAGUAUUGAUUUCUAGAAUUCCAGCUAAUUUAUGGAUACAUGUCAAAGCUAGUGGGAGCAUAAGUGUUAUGCUAACAAUCAUCAUGUUAGUGGGAGCAUGAUAAUUAUGUUUAAUAUUGCGAGUUAGCAAUGUUAAUUAUAGAAAACAAAAGUUUUAAUUCGUGAAGUUGCAGGGAUUGAAAAGUUGUUUUGCUUUAAUUAAGGGAGAGCAAAUUAUACUUCAUUUCAAUUCUAAAAGAAUAAAUUGAGAUUUUCAUCAUGUUUAGUCAAGUAUAUAUAUGAAUUUUAUGUUGGAAUGGUUCGAAUUAAGGAAAUUCUAUAUAUAUUGUGUUUUCAAAAUUCGAUUAUGAUUACGGUAUCCCUCUUCAUAGUCAAAUUUUGAUACCAUGGCAAAUAAAAAAUAUUGUAGCAAAAGACUGGUCUAUGGUCAUGUCUUUAUGUGAGACAUCAUGAAUCGUGUCCCAUAUGCUUCGGAUAUAGGAUAGAUUUCAUGUGCUAUAAUAGGGAAAACUAUGGAAUUGGAUAUGACUAAAAUGAUUAAGCAACUGUCGAGGACAAUCUGAGGUUUACUAAAGAUUGGUUGCUCAUGGACAGUUGGAAGUAUAAGUGUUAAUUUUUGGAAAGGACCAUAAUUUACAUAUAAUGAAAAGAAGCAACUCUUGUUCAGAAGUGACAGUCAAAAUGGGAAUCUGGAAAGGUUUCCAUAGGUGGAAGUUGAUCUUUCAAAUCUGUGUAAGAUUAGAAAGCUUAAUACAAGAAGGAUGUUCAAAGUAAUGUACUUUGAAUUGGAGACUUCGUUUCCAUGGAAUUGAUCUCCAUUGGAAUGCUCUGUAAUGUCUAUUGACAAGUCUUUGUGACUUUGUGCAUAGUCAUUACAAGAGGAUCAAUGCAUAUAUGUUUAGAGUCUAACAGAUUUAGUUAAAUGGUAGGAAUUUGGAAUUCUUAUAUUUACGAUAAAGAUUUCGGAUUGUGAAAUGAACAUCAUUGGAAUCAAGUUCAAUUUAUUUAUUUAACAAAGUAAAGAUCAUAUAUAAACAUAAUAUGCGUACUUGAUGUGCGGCAUGACUAGUGUUUACAAAAACAUAGUUUACAUGCUUGGAGCAUGGGACAACUAUUGUUUUAAUUCAAGUAUAAAGUUGAUUAUUUGAAACAUUAUACAAUGAAUAAUGAGUAAUCAAUAUGGUGUUUAAAUAAAUGGUGUUUUAUUUACUCUCAAAGGUGCUUGGGACCAUAAAGAAUUAGUAUUAUUCUUGUGUUUCACUUUGCAUGUUUUGACUUCCAGAAUAACUAGGUUAUUCUUUCCGAAUGACUAAGUUAUUCAACCCAUCCACAGUCGAUAAUACGUUGGAAGUAGGUAUUAAGGCAAGACUGUCAUGAAUCGGGUUUUAGAUGUCCAAGGUAGUGGACAUAGUAAGAGUUACUACAACAUUCAUAUGUACUCCAGGAAUAGGGAUUCGAGUAUUGGAUUCAACCCACGCUCAUUUGAAUCACUUCAUGGAUUUUAUCACGAGUGAUCAUGAGACGUUAAUAUCUUAUACUCUUCAAACCUAGAGAUAUGACUUGUUGCCUAUGAGUUGAUUAUACAUUGAUUUCACGAACACGCAUUUGGUUACUCGAUUUUAUAAAAUGUGCCUUUGUGUAUGAUUCAACAAGUAGUAAAACAAGCAUAUGAGUCGAAGUUUAUCCAUUCCUUUUACUCUCAGAGGGAUAAAAGCGAUAUCUCUGGACCCCUCGACGAUUUGGUGACGACAAACAUAAGUGCUCGGCGGGGCCUGGACUAAUUUGAUUUGUUCAAUUAGUCAGUCAUCAUAAAUCGGAAAUCGGGAAACAACAAAUGGACAGAGAGAAUGAUUAUAAUCCCUGUCUAAGUCCAUAUGAUAUCUAGAAUGGAGGAAUAUAUGAUCCCUUAUCUAAUGGACAUGUCAUUUGAUUUUUCAGAGUUUGACAACGGCUUUAACAGCAAGGAUUGCUAGUCAGGAUCUUGGAGUCAUACGCAAUAAUGGUUUUAGACUUACCCAAGUGGGAGACUAUUGGAUUAGGUGUCUAAGCUCAUAACUAUUAUUGGUAUGUAUUCGACCCGAAAGUAGCAUCGUCCAUUUGGGUUGCAUAUCAUCAGGACAAUUUGUUAGGAUGGACUUUUGAGAAAAGAGAUUAUAUAUGAUUUAUUAAUAUAUUAUAAGUUAUAAUAUAUUAAUAUGAAAUCAUAUGUUUUAAUUAGUAUUGAUCAAGAAUUAAUUUGUAAUUAAUUUAGUGAUCAAAAGAUACUAAUUAAAUCUAUGGGGACUAAUUAUGAUAAUUAAUUAUAUUUAUAAGUGUUGUGAUUAUGAUCCAUGUUGGACCAAGUUUAUGUAUGGAUACAUAAAGAGUUGGGACACAUGAACCAUGGAUCAUAAAAUCCAUGGGUAUGGAUUUAGGUUACAUCCAUGACCCUAGAAAUCCCACAUAUAAAUAGAUACUUCAUUGCCCAAAAUCGCCACUUGUAUCUUCUUGGAGUUCAUGGAGGUUUUUGGUGCAUGGAAUUCUCUCUCAAGUUCAUCCUUUGUCCAUGGUGUGUUGUGAUUCCAUUUGAGGCUUCCACACUAUUGGGGCUAAGCUCUUUAAGGCCAAAUACAUCAGGACUUCAAGCUCCAUCAAAAGGUAUCUCAUAGGGUUUAUGUUAAAUGCAUGCUAGUUGUAACAUUAAUACCUUGAAAACCAUUUGCAUGUAUAAUUAGUGAAAACAUAGAUCUAAGGUAUUUAGGGUUGUAUGUGCAGCAUAGGAUGUUGUAGUAUACUAAAACCCAACAGGUACAAGGAUGGGAAUCAAGGAAGAGCUUAUGGAGUUUGCUCAAGUGUCUCAUUUCCAGCAUGUUGGAGGUAAAAAGAUUUAAACUUGAUCAAUCAUGUCUUAGAUCUAUCAUUUAUGGGUUUUGGUUCAUUUUGGACCUAAGAAUGAGAUCUAGUGGUCUUGAUUCCACUCGAGGAGCUUUGAGUUGCCCCUCUUAGUGUUUCUAAGGUUUAAGGUCCAUAAAUGUGGAACCUUUAGAGUUUAAAACCGUCUAUGGUUGAGUUUGGGUCCCUUUCAUGAAAGCAUAAUGCUAAACUUUGAGAUUGGGUCUUCUUGGGGCAUGUAAAGUCACCAAGUCAGUGACUUUAUGAUUCUAGACAUUCAUUUUGUAGUGGACAUGUGGUUUGGACUUAAAGGAUCAAGCAUUAGCAACUUAAUGAAGGUUUUGGAUCAACGGAGGAGUACGUUGGGCCAUGAUUUGGGCCACAAGUGGUUCUUGGUAUUUUGGGCUUGAGUGGUUAAGUUAUUAAUGGGUCAUCUAAAUACAAAGUGUUUUGGAUUAGAAAGAGUGGUUGGGCCUUAAUUUAAGGCCUGUGUAAGGGGUUUGGGCCCAAUUUGGAAAAUUGUGCCAUUGGUUGAUUAAUUAGCCUUUGGGCCUUUCAGUUGUAAGUUUGGUUCUUAGAUUUAGUCAUGGCCAAGUUAGGGGUAAAAUGGUCUUUUUACCCCAGGUAUGGAAUUGUGGUUAUUGAUUGGAACCUAAUUCUUAAUUGGGAGUUGUUUUGUUAUUGAUAGUUCGGGGAUCUGUCAGCCAGCAACCAAGGGUGUUUCUGUGUGAUUCAGUAGUGCUAGGUGAGUCUUCUCACUAUAUCCAUGGGUCGAACGCAUCAAUGUCGGUCGAUUACGUGUUAUGUGGUAUGCUAGUUGUCUCUGUGAUACUUAGAUAGAAGACCCCGGGGGAGCCCAUGUCAAUUGGAUAUCAGACCAUGGGGGAAGCUCAUGGCAUUCCCGAUAAAGACCAUGGAGGGAGCCCAUCGCUUACCAGAUAAAGACCAUGGGGGAGCCCAUGGCAACUAUAUGUAUGUUUCAUGGUAAUCUAUAUAUGUGUGUUCGAUGGUAUCUUUGGAAACUCACUAAGCUUUGUGCUUAUGGUUUUCAGUUUAUGUUUCAGGUACUUUGGUUUUCAAAUGGAUAGGCUCGGAACGAUGGCAGAGCACAUACCUCAUGUUUCUGCCUUCUGUGAAUUACUCUGAUCUGUCGAUGUUUUGCUAAAACUUAAUUACUAUGGUUUUUUUGGAAGAGACAUGUAUUAACAAUUAAUUAAUUUAAAAACAAAAAAAUUUACGUCACGAUAUUCANNNNNNNNNNNNNNNNNNNNNNNNNNNNNNNNNNNNNNNNNNNNNNNNNNNNNNNNNNNNNNNNNNNNNNNNNNNNNNNNNNNNNNNNNNNNNNNNNNNNNNNNNNNNNNNNNNNNNNNNNNNNNNNNNNNNNNNNNNNNNNNNNNNNNNNNNNNNNNNNNNNNNNNNNNNNNNNNNNNNNNNNNNNNNNNNNNNNNNNNNNNNNNNNNNNNNNNNNNNNNNNNNNNNNNNNNNNNNNNNNNNNNNNNNNNNNNNNNNNNNNNNNNNNNNNNNNNNNNNNNNNNNNNNNNNNNNNNNNNNNNNNNNUAUAUAUAUAUAUAUAUGUUUUUAUUUUAUUUCAAUUCAUUAAUCAAAUUCCAUAAGAAAAAGUAGACAAAGUAAGGUUGUUCAACAAUCAAACGUAUAUUUUUUAAAAGACUUUUUAUGAUUAUGUUUUAUUACUUUUUUUUGCUAAAAAUUAAUUUAGUUUGUAGACAUGAAUGUUAUUGUUUGCGCCUGAAGUCCUUUGGUGAUUUUAGUUCAUAAUAUUAUUUUUAUUAUUUUUUGUUUUGUUGGUUAAUAUAUAACUAUGAAUUAUUUUUCAUAAAAUUUCAAAACUUUGUAACGGAGAAAAAUCCUGAUUACCCAUUGAGGAUCCAUAUUCCACACUGACCAUGGGUAAAGGGAUAUAUUUUUACCUAGAUGGGGAUGGGGUUGAGUAUAUGGAUGGGGACCGAGAUUCAAGUAUGAUGAUGGAGAACCAAAACCUGAUAUAUCUUCCUGUUGUCAUCCCUAAUUGUACACACGAACAUCUUUCAAUUUAGAUGUCCGGAGGACAAACACUAACCUUUUAAUAUUAUUUUAAUACAUUUAUUCACUUUGUAUAUUCAUUUAGUGUCAUUUUUAAUGCAAAAUAACUUAUAGUUGAGUAGUGGGUGGAAAUUUGAUAUAUUGAUAUAAACUGAAAGUUUAAGCUUUGAUACAAAACCAUAUAAAUAUGAAAUAGUUAUAAAGCUAAGGGAUAUCUUUUAUUGCCCAUUUUUUCACUGUCGUUAUAUUCUCAAGUUAUUUUUCAUUCGUUUUUUUUCAUCUUAUUAGUGAUAAAAAAUGAUUAUCNNNNNNNNNNNNNNNNNNNNNNNNNNNNNNNNNNNNNNNNNNNNNNNNNNNNNNNNNNNNNNNNNNNNNNNNNNNNNNNNNNNNNNNNNNNNNNNNNNNNNNNNNNNNNNNNNNNNNNNNNNNNNNNNNNNNNNNNNNNNNNNNNNNNNNNNNNNNNNNNNNNNNNNNNNNNNNNNNNNNNNNNNNNNNNNNNNNNNNNNNNNNNNNNNNNNNNNNNNNNNNNNNNNNNNNNNNNNNNNNNNNNNNNNNNNNNNNNNNNNNNNNNNNNNNNNNNNNNNNNNNNNNNNNNNNNNNNNNNNNNNNNNNNNAUGUGUGGACAUUGUUAUUCUGUGAGAAUAACUAAGAUAAUAAAUUAUUUAAUAAUGUGAAUACGUUCAACAUCACCCAACUAUCGUUAUUAUCACGCAUUUUCACUAAUUAUUAUUAAUUUUUGUUCUCACGUAUCACUUUUCAUUCAUUUUCAUUAUAACAGAAUACGAUUAUCAAUAACACAUUUUGACAACAUUUUCACAAAAUGAUAAUAAUAAUAAUAAUAAUAAUAAUAAUAAUAAUAAUAAUAAUAAGACUAUAAUACANACACACACACACAUACACACACACACACACACAUAUAUAUAUAUAUAUAUAUAUAUAUAUAUCACAAAGAUAACUAGCACCUCAACAAUAUAGUGAGAAGGCUCAACUCGCAAACGAUAAUCAACUACUACUGCUCCCACUGCCAAAAUACAAAUGCUAUACACCACUUAUACAUUCACACAAGGUAAACCCUUAGCCCUGCUUCCAAAACUACGAGUUACACCAAAACUCAACAGUCAAAGUCAAUGGUUAAAGCAAGCUCAAAGUUGCCAAUUAGCAGCCCUCCGUGUUGUGGCCUUCCUUGGCCAUGUCGUGGGCAUUAAAUUCCAAAAUAGUCGAUGAUUCCUUAGUCUCCACAUCGUGGCAGCCUUACACUACGUCGCGUGGACUUGUCUGAGUACCUCAAACGAGCUUAAUUCAUUUUCUUUCGAUUUCAAGAGCUCCAAAGCUCAUAUUUGGUCCUUUUCCAAGGUCUUAAUGGAUAAAGUUUCCAACUUUAUCCUUGAAGAUAUCCCUAUAUGUCUUGGUCUAGGUUCUAUGGUCCAAAAGUCAACUUAAUGCAUAGGACUUGGACCGUUAAGCCCUUAAGCCAAUGAAAUCCUCAAUCCAAAACUUUCAGAAGCAAUUUAGGGACCCUAAUGGAUCCUAAAAAUGUAAAAUUUAUGGACGUACAUACUCCAUGCAUGUCCUUUUCCAUGUUUAGUUCAAAAGAUGCAAUAUAACUUAAGCUUCAAGCAAAGUUCCCUAAUCACCACCAAUUCCUAGAUCUAUGACAUAUAAUGCUCUUAUGAUAUAGAGAGACGAUAGAGUUACAAACUUGGUCUUUUUAACCCACAUAAUUAUAUCAAAGGGAAGAUAAUAUGCCAUUAACGUAGAUCGAAGAAGAAUGAAAUGAAAAGAUGUAAACAUGAGGACUUACAAAGGACCUAGAGUAUGCAGACAAGUGAAAAUGUGGUUUUCUUGUUGAAUCAAGGCACUACCUUUUCUUCUUCUACCUUCAAAACCACCAAGAACUUGAAAAAAUGAGUACAAAAGCUUCUAAAAGGAUUAUGUUUUGCAAAGGAGAUGUUUAAAGGUGAUAAAGGAUGAUAAGCAACCCUAGUAUCAAGGUAAUGAGGUUUAAAUAAGGAAGAAGCCCUAAAACUCAUAGGCUUGGGCCGGAACAACUGCCAAAUCAUGGCCAACCUAAUGCCACAUCAUGGCGAUUAAUAAAAAAACAUGUUCAAUUUAUUUGAUGCCACGUCGUGUGUAUCCUUGCACCAUGAUAUGGCACAAAGUUUUUCCCAAAGCUCCAUCUAAAUAUAAGCUAAAAAAUGUGGAACACGGGCGUUACAACUCUCCCCCACUUAAACUAGAUGUCAUCCUCGAAAUCAUUCCAUAUAACUUAUUGUGCCACACCCGAUGACUCUGCCAUAACUUCCUGAAUACCAAUUAGGACUGAGAAGUUCUCUUGUGUAGAUGACCGCCUCCUAAUGCUGAUAUCAAAGCACUAGUGAUAGUAGAGAUCACAUAUCUAGAUGAACAAAAAUUGAACCUUAAUUCUCCACCCUUGACCAACUACGGAAAAAUCUAAUUUCUCUGCCUUAAAUUUGAAAAUUCUAAACCAUGUAUGACUUUUAGACAUAUAUGACCUUUCCAAAUUACACCAUAGUGACUCUAAAUUAUUUCCUGAACUGAUAAAAACCACUACAACACUGAAUUAUCGCAAUGAUACUGGAAAAUAGUAUCCAUGAUCAUUCACCAAUGUCGGCAACGUUGCAAUCAAAUAUAAGCACGAUUCCAAACACAAGACUCAACCAUUGAUGCCAAACAAACAUAAAAAUCACAUCCUGCAAAGCAAAAAUUCACAUUUUUCUUUCUAGCCAAUAUCUCCUUCGAACUGAACUGACCUACCAAUUAACUAAAGUAUCGAAUUUUUAAUUGGGUGCUGAAGCUAAUAAAUUCACACACGGUCGCACCACGAGAAUCCAACCAAGUGUCUAACUAGCCAAAUGUUAUCUUAGCCUGUUCACAAAUACGACUGCAAUCACUCUCCAAUCCCAAAAAGGACAACUUAACCAACCAUUUAUACGAAGAUAAACAGUCUAAAUGAAUAAUAGCCAGGGUGAUUCAUUCCAUAAAAAUGCUACCAUCCUAGCUGUAGUCUUACAUAACACCCAUCCCCAUGAUAGACUACGACUUUGCCAUCAUUCCAUCACUGGCCUGUAGAAUCCUAGCUAACACUUCAUGCCUUUAUUAUAAACUCAAACAUCAGAAUGAACUGCUCACCCAAGAUAAUAUAAUCAAAAGGGUCACUUCAUUAAUUGAGCUUAUACUAGUCUAACCAUCAAUACGACUCUAACUGUCCCUCCGUCUUAACACAGAGUGGCAGAAUAAUGAUAACAAACUUGCCUUAUCCCAAAGGAAGACUGUGAUACCCUCAUAGUCAUAGAACCAUUCCUGCGAUGGUCUAACUCUCCUUAUAUAAUUCUAUGUGAAAAGUCGUAGACUUACCACACUUCCACAUCCACCUACCAAUCUAGUGAAUGCGAUGGUUACCCACAGUCUUGCAACACUUCCAUAAUUGCCUACCAACCUAGUGAAUGUUACGACUACCUUGUAGUAUUACAACACUUCCAUUACUGCCUACUAACCUAGUGAAUGAUAUGACUACCCCCACAGUAUUACAAAACUUCCAUAACUGCCUACCAACCUAGUGAAUGAUACAGAUACCCUGCAAUCUUCCAACACGUCAACACCUACCUACCAACCUAUUGAAUGUUAUGGUUAAACGACAGUCUUACAACAACACAAUAACUUCCAAACAACCUAGUGAAUGCUAAGGCUACCCUGAAGUCCUACAAUACCUCCACAACUGCCUACAAACCUAGUGAAUGCUACAACUACCCAAUAGUCAUACAAUGCUUCCACAACUACCAUGGGCCCAGCCCAUGGCCUUUCCAACUACUUAUAAUAAUACUUUCCUAAAGAUCAUUACAAAGCAAAUCCCCCAUCCUACUAAACCCUAAUCAAGUAUUCGGGUCAUGCAUCUAACCUGAAAGCCUUUAUUAGACAAAAGCAUGCAGAGAGGUUCUAACACAACCCUCAACUUGGACCUAGCCACGGAUCUGUGAUGUGACCCUGCCACUACUUCAUGUCAUUAAAUGAGAUAAUCCUGACUCUUCAAAUUUUUCUUCCCCGAUUACAACUGAACACUGCCAUUAUCCCUUCCAUGAUACUUGACUCAUACCCCAACCUAACUGGCUACUCACCCACCCUUAGUUAUUAUAUUCCAAGUUAACUCGCACUUGGAAAGUAUUUCUGUUAAUCCAAAUGAUUCUCACCCACUUGGAUUUAACUACAUUUUGCCAACCUCAUGACCAAUGGUUUUCCAACCCAUCUUACAACCUUUCAAUUCCACCACUACAAUCUUCACCUUACAAGGACUAUGAUUCUAGUACCAAAUAAGUUAGGGUACCCACACACCAUACCAUAUUACAAACUUCACUACUCCUGAAGGAUGAUCUUUGCAUCCAAAUCACUUUCCCUUGAUACAAUUUCAAACCUUGAACAACGUCAACUGAUGGCAAGAAUGACUGAUCCAUUAUCGGAAUAGGUGGAUAACCAAUCUAACAACUCACUUGCUGAAGAUCGAUGCACCUAAAACAUCGUCAACUGAUGUAAUUCGAACACUCUUGAACAAUCCCAACAGCUAAAUGAAUUCAUGCAAAUUUGCGUUACCCACAACGAGAAGUUGAUGAAUCAUAACCACUCCUACCUACUAGAAAUAAUAAUCGAUCCAACGAGGUAACCAUCCCUACAACUGAUAUCCAGCCUAAGCAGCAUAAGCACCUCUAAACUAUAUCUUUGUUCUCUCAGCAGGGACAACCGGCUACGACAAGGUCUUUUCCUAGAAGCUUCCGACGCGAGGAUUACACACACGUCCCUGAAAGCGUGAAUCUGAUAGCAAGUCACCCUACACUCACGUUCUGAAAAAUACCUUAUACCUUACAACCAUGAAGAAUCUUUAUAAUCUUGAAUACUAAAAAUAUGGUAGACUUAUACUUCAACUUUCUUGAACCACCAAAAUCAAUCUGACAGUUGAUCCUUCCAUGCAAAACGCUCAGUUUUCCCUCACUUAGGACUUAUUCUAUCAAUGGCCGACGUCUCCCUCGUCAAAGUAUGGAAUUGAUUCAUCCAAAUACCCUCUAAACAUGACUCUCGGUAUGCAAAAAUGGCAUAAGAUAAUCCCUCAAAUUAUAAUAACCAUACAAUCAUAAAGAAAUCCUGAAAAAAGGUUGAGGCUUAAACAUCUCGAACAUUAUGUUUCUUACACAUAAUCACAAAAUCAUGAGUAAUAAAACCAAGAAGGAAACAAUACAUUAUGUACCAGAAAACAACAUCACGCAGAACUCAGGUCCCCUUAACUAUCAACUAAAAUGCUUAGCUCCUCAUCAUCAAAGCCUCGAUUUUGCCCUCGUUGUCAUCAGUGAUUCUCAAUGUGGCUAGAGAGGAUGCGCACGCCGCUCCACCUGCCAAUACCGAAUAAUCACCUUCUUGUGUGCCACCUUUUUUCGGGGAAAGCAAAUCAACCUUUAUCCCUUAGAACACUCCCUACCGAAAUGAUUAAGUUGGUUGAAACUGAAGUAGCCUAUUCCCUUCUCACGAUAGUUCCCCUCUUGAGACCUCACAUACUUGGCACCAUAGCUUGGACCUUGUUGGACUCUUUCUCAUCUAUCUAUCAUCAAGGGCUUCUUGUUGAUCCCUACGCUGACACAUAUUACGGACCCGAUGAAGAGCUCUCCCUAAAAUAGGUCAUGAACUCUUCCCAUGAUAUUGUCUCCAACUCGGUAAACAUAAUUUUUGGAUUAGUGUCGAAGCCCAUAACUAUAUUUGGUAUGCACUUUACCCGAUUGUAGCAUGGCCCUUUUGGGAUGCCUUCAACGGAGCAGCUUGACUGGAUGAAUAAUGGAAAAAGAGGAUAAAUUUGGUUUAUUAACAUAUUAUGUGAAUAAUAUAUUAAAAGAGAAAUCAUAUUAGUUAAUUAAUAUUGGUCAAAAAUUAAUUGAGAAUUAAUUUUAUGGUCAAAAGAUAUUAAUUGAACUAAGGGGACUGGAAUUGCAAUUAUAAGAUAAUUAGAUUUUGGGUUGUAGAUCCCUUAGAGGAAGGGGUGGACGAAAUCUACGUGGAAGGCCACCGUGAAUUCUUCCAACGCCGUAUUCUGGAAGGAUAUUUGGACUGCUUGAUGGCUAAGCAACCUAAUUAGGGUUUUGACCUGAAACCCUAGCAGCUCGCCUAUAUAAGGACCCCUUGGGAUAGGGAAAUCGGCCACUUGAAACCUUAGAAGAGUUCUAGCCGAUUUUGAGCCCCUUCCUGUCUCCUUAAGUUCAUCCAAUUUGCUUUGGUGUUUGUGAUCUAUUAGAGGCACAAUAUUUGGGGUGCAAAAGUUCUCAAAAGCUCAAGAUCUUCAAGCAACAAUUGAAAGGUAACUUUCUAACUUGUUUGCUAGAUGUUAUUUUAGUUUUUGUUGUAUGUUAGAUUAGGGUUUGUAAGUCUUGGACAAUAUUGCAUGUACAAUUAGAAAAACUAGAUACAAGCAUUAGGGUUUGCAUGAACACCAAAGGAAUGUUGUUUUGCUCAUAACCAAACAAUGUGUAUCAGAGCGUAGAUCGUUUCUCUUUCAUAUUUGAUGCAAUGGUAACUUGUUCAAGCUCACAAGUCGAAAAAUUUAGCCUCUGACUGAUGGAUUCGUCGAGUCACCUGAAGAACUCGGCGAGUCAGCGCUACUCAGCGAGUCCAGUUCUACGUCUCGGCGAGUCGGCUCGUCUGGUUGCUGACUUUUCAGGAUUUUGACCAAAAUUGAAUUUUGAUAGUUGCCAAAAGUGUUUUUGACAGAUAAAAUUCGAUUGUUUCAAUAAGGUAUUGAUUAUCCUAAAUCAAUUGAAGGAUAAUUGUCAUAAAUAAUAUAAUUACUUGUUUUAUAAGAUAAAUUUAAUUAUUUGUACUUUUUAUUUGAAUUAUCUUGUCAAGAAAAUAGAUUAGGUCAAAUUUAGAUAAUCACUAAUUAUAUGAUUAAUUAAAUUAUUUGUAAUUUGAUCCAUUAUGAUUUGAAAGGUUUCAAAACUUGCCCUCAAGUUUUGGAAUUUGAAUUUCUGAUUAAAAGUUUUAAUUUUGAAACAUUUAAAUUCUAAACCCUAGAAUUUUACAAGUUUAACAUUCAACCCUUAUAUUAUUAUAGUAUUAUAAGAUUAAUAAUGUAUAUAUGUAUACGAUUAAGCUAGUCUUACCAUUAGUAGGCCUCAUUCACGAAGCCGAUCUAUAAGGGGGGUAUAAGGUUGCUGCCUAUAAAAUGACAGUUUAAUGGGUGUCCACUCUCACCCACCGCUUCUUUGAUUGGUGGAGGGUCGUUAGCUGAAUAGGUAGGAUAGAGCAAACUAAUUCCUCAUUAAUAAGUAUAAUGAAUGUAUAAAGUAACUAAAUGUUUUAUAAAAUUCCCAAUCCUAGUUACUUUAGGAAAAAUGUGAAAUGAUGCUGUUACAUGAAAUUACACUUUGCAUCCUUGCCAAGUUGUUAGUGGAGCAUGUGUGGUUAACCGGCACACUAAUUUAGGACUAGAAAAGGUGGAAAAUGGUGACUCGAUGUUUACCAUAGAUCAAUGAAGAGUGUGUGGCUAACCAACAAAUUGGUUAGGUGGUAAAUGACAUCGAGGGUACCAACUAAUUUGCAUGGUUAUUCACACCUUGUUUGUGAUCCUCAGUACCUCAGUCACAAACUUGAAGGGUAUAUCGAGAUUUGAACAUACCAUUGAAAAUUUCAAUGAAUCUCAAAAGAUCUAGGAGUUUCAACACAUUUGAAACUUAAUUGCCUUUUCAUUUUUCAUGGUGGAAAUUAGUGAAUCGUCAUUCACUUAACUUCAAAUUGUUUUCAUUUUAGACUACGGCAUCCAUCUUCUAAAUUGUAAAUAAUGUUGUUGGAUCCUUGCCCUAGUUUUUCAUUUGGGUGUUAAAUUAGAGAUUCUUAUCUAAUCUAAACUUUGUCUCUUUUCUUUUUCAGAUGUCGACUGCUAACAUUGCUUGUAGCUCCUUUUCCCUUUUGAUUUUAUGUGGGAAGGUGAUCUUCAAUGGUUCGAACUUCAACGAAUGGAUCUGAAAAAUUCUUAUGAUCAACCACUACGAGGACAAGAAAUAUCUUCUCGAUGAAGAGCUGAAGGAACUAAAUAAGCCAACUGCUACUCCUGAGGAAAUCACUAGGUUUCGAGUACACAAAAAGGACGUGACAAAGGUAUUGUGUAUCAUGGUCGCAACUAUGACUACCGAACUCCGAAAGUCCUACGAGGACUACUAACCCUAUAAAAUGCAUCAAGUCUUGAUGGAAAGGUACCAUAAAACUGCUAGUCAAGAUAGGUACAAGAUCAUCGUUGUGAUGAUCACUACCAAGAUGAAAGAUGGAGAGUCCAUCAUGUCCCAUUUGUUGAAAAUGUAGAAAUUUGUGGACCGUUUACUGAAGUUGAAUGUAAACUUCGAUGAAGAUCUGGCCAUUGACAUCAUCCUUCACUCAUUGCCUCUUUAUUACUACUAGUUUUGUACGAACUAUCAUAUAAACAAGGAGGAGGUCACUCUUAGCAAACAUCAAGGCCUCUUGUGCACUGCUGAGGGCUGUUUGAAAGACAAGUCUGUUGCAUCAACUCCUACCGCUGUUGCCCCUGUCUUGGCUAUUAGGCAAGGAAAAGGAAAGAAGAGGAAGGCUCCUUCCAAGAGCCACAACGGAAAGUCUCACGAUGGAUCCUUCUCUAGUGUGACCAAGGCUGUUUUUGCUGCUCCUUCUUCAAACCGAAAGGAUACAGAGUGCUUCUACUGCCAUGAGAAAUGACAUUGGAAACGAUGCUACCCGAAGUACCUACAAGAUAUCAAGGAUGGAAAGAUAAAGUUGUACUUCGUAGGUAUUUAUACUAUUCAUUCUAAGAACUCAUCACAUGAUAUAUCUUGGGUCCCCGAUACAGGAUGUGGUUUUCACAUUUGUUCUGAUUUGUAGGGUCUAAGAAGAAGUAGGGAUGUGGAGCAUGUGAAGAUAAACUUGAUCAUGGGGAAUAGGAAAGUGUCGCCUGUCACCAAGAUUGGAGUUUACUCUUUAGUGCUUAGUAGUGGGUUAGGUUUAGACUUGAUUCUUCUAAUGGUGUGGAUAAGGUAUGCUUGUGGCAUUGUCGUUUUGGACAGGUCAACAAGAAGCGCAUAGCCCAACUCCAAAAGGAUGGAGUGUUGGAGUCAUUCGACCUUAAAGACGAUGACACGUGCAAAUGUUGUUUACUUGGAGAGACGACCAAGUCACCCUUCACUGGUACUUGUGAAAGGGGUGAGGGUUUAUUGAAUCUCAUACACAUCGAUGUAUGUGGGCCCUUUAGAUCAACCACAAGGGAUGCGAAACGCUUCUACAUGACUUUUACCAAAGAUUAUAGUAGAUAUGUGUAUAUUUACUUAAUCAAGCACAAUUCAAAAACUUUUUAAAAGUUCAAAGGGUUUAAGCAAGACGUGGAUAAUCAGUUGGGCAGGAAAAUUAAUAUGCUUUGAUCCGAUCGUGGUAGUGAGUACCUUAGUCUUGACUUCCAUGACUACCUCAAGGAGUGCGGAAUAGUUUCGCAAUUGACGCCACCUAGGACACCACAGUUGAAUGGUGUGGCUGGGAGGCACAAUCGAACCUUAUUUGACAUGGUUCGUUCCAUGAUGAUUCGGCUUUGCUACCUAUCUCAUUCUGGGGGUAUGCCUUAGAGACUGUCGCCCAUAUCCUUAAUCUAGUCUCGACUAAUAAGGUGGCCAAAACACCUCACAAAAUGUGGACAUGGAAAGCUCCCUCAUUGUCACAUAUAAAGGUUUGGGGUUGUGAGGCUUUCGUAAGACGAGAGACUCACGACAAGCUCGAGCCUCCUAGAGAGCAGUGUAUUUUCAUUAGCUACCCACAGAAGUCCUUUGGAUAUCUCUUCUAUAGACUGAGUGACAAUGUUGUCUUUGUUGUGAUGAGAGAGGUUUUCUGAGAGCGAGAACUCAUAUGCCAAGAGGACAGUGGGUGGAAAAUUGAUCUUGAAGAGCUUCAAGAAUCAAACGAUGAAGGAACCUCUAACGCUGGAGCUUAACCUAUGGAUGAAACCCCUGUUGAACCGAUUGACGAGUCCCUACCUCUUAGACGUUCUAAUAGAGUUAUUGUUCCAUCCGUGUUGUAUGGUUUUCAAAUAACAAGUGAGGGUAAUACGUUUAUUAGUUGUAGUACACUAAUAAAUUUAGAUGAACCUAACAACUGCAAGGAAGCCAUGGCUGGCCUGGAAUCUACAAAGUGGAAAGAGGCUAUCGACAACGAGAUUCAGUCCAUGUAUGGCAAUCAAGUUUGGAACUUGGUUGACAAUGUACCGGGUCGUAAGACGGUCAUGUGAAAAUGGAUCUUCAAAAAGAAAACCGACAUGGAUGGGAAAGUACAAACUUAUAAGGUGCGAUUGGUUGCGCAUGGCUUUAAUCAAACUCCCAGAGUUGACUAUGACGAGACCUUCUCACCAGUAGCGAAGAUGAAGUCUAUAAGGGUUAUGCUAGCCAUAGUUGUGUUUCAUGAGUAUGAAAUAUGGCAGAUGGAUGUCAAAACCACCUUCAUCAAUGGAAAGUUGGCUGAGGAUGUUUACAAGAGUUAUCCAUAGGGUUUUGUCUAUGCAAAGUACCAAAAUAGAGUGUGUAAGCUUGAGAACUCCAUUUAUGGAUUGAAACAAGCAUCUCACAGAUGCAAUCUUUGUUUUGAUGAGAAAGUCAAAGAGUUUGAUUUUUCAAGAUGAGAAGAUGAGUCCUGUGUAUAUGUCAAAGUCAGUAGGAGUAUAAUUAGUUUUCUCAUUUUGUAUGUGGAUGACAUAAUACUCAUAGGAAACGACGCCCCAACUCUGCAGGAGGUUAAGUCUUGGCUUGGGAAGUGCUUCUCUAUGAAGGACCUCGGAGAAGCUGCUUAUAUUCUUAGGAUAAGGAUAGUGAGAAAUAGGAGUAAAAGACUAAUAGGACAUAGUCAAAGUACUUACUUGGAUAAAGUGUUGAAACGUUUUAGCAUGGAAAAUUCCAAGAAGGAGGAGUUACCGAUCCAAAUAAAUACCAAGUUGAGUAAGACUCAAAGCCCGAGUAUCGAAGCUGAGAUAGCAAAAAUGAGUCGAGUACCUUAGGCUUCCGUAGUUGGCUCGAUCAUGUAUGUUAUGACAUGUACUCACCCUGAUGUGGCCAUCACUUUAAGCAUGGUCAGCAGAUAUUAAGGGAACCCUAUUAGAGCACAUUGGACCGCAAUCAAGAACAUUCUUAAGUACCUGCAAAGGACUAAGGAAUGGUUCCUUAUCCUUGGUGGGAGUGAUGACUUGAUAGUGCGAGGGUAUAGUGACGCCAGUUUUCAGAACGACCGAGACAACUACCGCUCUCAGUCGGGCUGGGUCUUUACCCUGAAUGGAGGAGCAGUAACUUUGAAAAGUUCCAAGCAAGAGACCAUAGCUAAUUCAACGUGUGAAUCAUAGUACAUAGCAGCGAGUGAAGCGUCGAAUGAGGCAAUAUGGUUGAAGAACUUCAUCAGAGACCUUGGAGGUGUACCAACCAUAAAGGAGCCUAUGGAUAUUUUAUGCUAUAACGAAGGUGCAGUGGCCUUAACCAAGGAAUCGAGGGAUCAUGGCAAAUUCAAACAUAUUGACAGAAAGUAUCACUUCAUCAUACAUCGGGUAGAAGAGGGACUCCUCGUAGUAAAGAGGGUAUCGUCAGAGGAUAACCCAGCAGAUCCUCUUAUGAAGGGACUGAGUAUGGUUAAGCACUUGCAGCACGCUAGGAGCAUUGGGCUGAAGGACGAUAUUAGUUUUAGCGAUUAGAUAGAUUUAAGAAACUUGUAAUAGAUAAAUUGUAGUUGACAUUUUGAUGAUUAAAUAAAGGUGUUUUAUUUAAAAGUAAUGUUACUAUCUUGUGUCAAUUAUUUACUAUUGUUUGACUUUGGAUGUUUUGACUUCCCAAAUAAUAAGAUUAUUUAAACUAUUCACAAUCGAUCAUACGUUGGAAGUAAAUUUGAAUGAAGACUGUCAUGAAUAGUUUUGUGGAUUGUCUAAGUGUUUAGACAUAGAAAAGGAUUGUUGCAACAUUCAUGAGUGCUCACAAAAUAAGAUUUAAGUAUUUGAUUAAACCUGCGCUCACAUAAAUCACUUCAUGGAAUCUAAUCACGAGUGAUUGUGAGACGAUAGUAUCAUUUAGUCUUUAAACCUAGAUAUAUGAGUUGUAAUUUACAAGUUGGUUGUGCAUUGAUAACGCGUAAAUGCAUCAGUAACUUGAGGUUAUAAAACAUGUUGUUGUGUACGAUUUGAUGAGUAAAUAGUACAAGCAUAUAUGUCGAAGUUUAAAUGUUCCUUUUAUCCUAUGAGUCUAAAAGUGAUAUCUUUGGCCACUCGAUGAUUUGCUUUGACUUAUGUGUCGGGCCUAGUCAGGACUAAAUUGAAGUGUUCAAUUAUGUUCUAUGUCAAACAUAUCAUAGAUCUAGAAACAAAAUCCUGGACAAUAAGUAUGACUAUGUUCCAUGUAAUUGUCCGCACGAUAUCUUGAGAACGGAGGACUAUACGAUCCCUAAUGUUAAGGACAUGUCAAAGUUCGACAGCAGCUUUUGAGAGCUAUGAUUGCUAACCAAAUUUUGAAGUCGUACUUGCAUUUAUAGUUAUUAGACUUAUCCAAGUGGGAGACUGUCGGAUUAGUGUCUAAGUCCAUAACUAUAUUUGGUAUGUACUUGAACCAAUUGUAGCAUGGUCCUUUUGGGUUUCCUUCACCUAAGCAACUUGAAUGGAUGAAUAAUGGAGAAAGAGGAUAAAUGUUUUUUAUUAAUAUAUUAUGUGAAUAAUAUAUUAAAAGAGAAUUCAUGGUAGUUUAUUAAUAUCGGUCAAGAAUUAAUUUUGUGGUCAAAAGAUAUUAAUUGAACUAAGGGGAUUGGAAUUGCAAUUAUAAGUUAAUUUGAUUUUAGGCUAUAGAUCCCAUAGAAUAAGGGGUGGACGAAAUCUAGGUGGAAGCCCACCUUGAGUUUGUCCAAGGCCUUAUUCUGGAAGGAUCUUUGGACUGCUUGAUGGCUAAGCAAUAAUUAGGUUUUUGACUUGAAACCCUAGCAGCUUGCCUAUAUAAGGACCCUUUGGGAUAGGGAAAUCAGCCACUUAAAACUCUAGAAUAGUUCCAGCAGAUUUUGAGCCCCUUCCAUCUCUCCAAUUUCAUCCAAUUUGUUUUGGUGUUUCUGAUCGAUUAGAGGCACAACAUUUGGGGUGCUAAAGUUCUCAAAAGCUCAAGAUCUUCAAGCAACAAUCAAAGGGAACUAUCUAACUUGUUUAUUAGAUGUUAUUUUAUUUUUUGUUGUAUUCUAGAUUAGGGUUUGCAAGUCUUGGACAAUAUUGCAUGUACAAUUAGAAAAACUAGAUCCAAGCAUUAGGGUUUGCAUAAACACCAUAGGAAUGUUGUUUUGCUCAUAACCCAACAGUAAUACAUUACGCAAUCAAAUUCCAACAACUCUUUGUUGUAAGAAGCAAAAGGUCCAAAACAAACUAAACCUUGGCUUUUAUGGGAUAUGGACUGGUGUGAAAGAUACCCUCCAUCUCCUAAAUCCAUCAUGAACUUAGAACUCCGGUAUUCCUCCGACAAGCCAUAGAAGAAAGAUAGUUAGCUAUGUCGGCGGGUAACAUGAUGAACUCAUAUAUCCUCUAAUCAAUCGACUCAACACUAGAGCCUGAACAAGAACUAGAACCAGAACCUCCUCCAUGAGUGCUCAUCAACAUACUGAAAAAAUCCAACAAUGGAUCAGAACAUAUCCAAAGAAUCCUCAUUCAACACGAUUCCUAGAAUCUUUCUAGCAUUCCUUGAUCUGAGUACGGAUAUUGUGCUUCUAGUAGUAUGGGCCUAAUACUACCCUCUAUACAUAUCCAUACUUUCCUCAAGAAUCAUGCUUGAUCCACUAAGUCACCUUUUCAAACUGGAUUCCGAAAACCCGCGAAAUAGCGCACCAUUCCUACUAAAGCAUUUCAUAGGCUCUCCAAGGAUCCCCCACUUCACCCUGCCAUUAGUUGUUGAAGAACUCCUACCUAUUUUAGCUAACUGCUUCAUGAAUACAACUUGAUGCAAUAAAACAUAAAUAAUCUUUAGACUAAAAGACCCAACCCUACAACAUUUAGACUCAGACCAGAGUUACACAAUAUGGACGAAUCUAUCAUUCUAGAAUUAUUUAACCUUUGUGGCAUGUAACUAAAUAUAUUCAGUUAAUAGUUAUGUUACAUCAAUAAGAGUCCAACAAAGCACAUAGUAAGCAACGUUCAUGCAGUAACACUCAAAAUCCACAUAACAACCAAAGGACAUCCCGAACUCACUGGUUGUUAUGCUGCUCAGAACUUCCACUAACAUUUGCGGUUACCUAUUGCAUUCAAAUUAUACACUUAGCAAUAAAUUCCAUUAAUAAACGUUCCAAAUAAACAUAGCAUCCAAUUAAUCCUAGGCUACAAGGCAUCACAAGUCAGUCUAUUCUAUCAUGUAAUCCUAAGUAUAUCCUUAUGCUAACUCCUAUCAUGCAAAACGUAUAACAUAACAUGUAUGGUUAUUUUAGGAAUCACUUACUUGAGCUCAAGUAAUUGCGUAUAUCACACCCCUUUAUUUAUAAAAAUAUUUUUAGAGAAACUCAUUUCCUUUUUUAAAAAGAUUACCAAUUUCUUAGUUUGAGUUCUGAAACACUUGAGGUUGCGCCUGAAUCCCUCAAACCAAGGGUAUGAUACCAGCAUGUAGCUUCCCAAAAAUAAUAGCAAAGUUUUUUUAUUUUUAAAUCCAUAAAUACAAAAAAACAUUUUUUCCAAAACCAAUCAAAGUAAAUUGUAUUUCUCAAACACCAAAAUAAAACAUAAAUAAUUGGUGUGGAAAAGCCAUCGGGGGAUGAUGUGCAGUCAACCCGGGCCCUUCCCUUUAAAACUAGUAGUACCUGAAAAAUCUCCAACCAUAAACUUUAAGCAAAAAGAGCCGUGAGCUUCCCCAAAUACCACAUACAACAUAUACAAUUGCCAUAGGCUACCCACAUGGUCUUUUUCUUGAAAUAAUAUGGGCUACCCCUAUGGUCUUUUUCUUGAAAUAAUAUGGGCUACCCCUAUGGUCUUAAAACCAAGUGUCAUGGGCUACCCCCAUGGUCUUUCGUUGAAAUUCCAUGAGCCACCCCCAUGGUCUAAAAUCCAAGUGUAAUGGGCUACCCACAAGUUCUAUCAUGCAGUUUCCAUGGGCAACCUCCAUGGUCUUUCAUACAAAUACGACGGGCUACCCACCGGGUCUUUAAUGCAAGUAUCACGAAGACCACUAGCACCUACACAUUAUAGUGAGAAGGCACACCUCGCGGAUAAUAAUCAAUUCCUACUGCUCUCAUUUCUGAAAAUACAGAUGUUAUACACCACCUAUACAGCCACACAAGGUAAACCCUUAGCCCUCCUUCCAAAACUAGGAGUUUGACCAAAAGUCAACUCAAGUCAAAAAUCAACGGUCAUAGUCAAUUGUCAAAUCGAGGUCAAAGUUGCCAAUUAGUAGCCCUCCAUGUCGUGGGUAAUAAAUACCAAAAAAAGUGUAUGAUUCCCCAGUCUCCACAUCAUGACAGCCUAAGGCCACGUCGUGGGGACUAAUCUAUAUAGCUUAAAUGAGCUUAAUCCAUUUUGUUUUGAUUUCAAGAGCUCUAAAGCUUAGACCUAGUCCAUUCCAUGGUUUUAAUGGAUAAAGUUUCCUAUUCUAUCCCUGAAGAUGUAAGUCCCUAAAAUUGCUUGUGUAUCAAUCAGAUCCAAUUGAUGGUACGGAAUCCCAAUCAAUUGGAUGAUGUCAGAUCAAUAUAGAAGACAAGGAGAAGAAGAAUAACUUGAAUCUAAUGUAUUGAUAAUAUGAUUGAUGCUCCUUACAAUAGAUUCUCUCACACACACUAUUCUUCUCUCUAACUUGCUCUCUCUUCUCUAGCCUUACACUCCCACAUGCACUCCUCUAUUUAUAGCACUCCUAGCAGUACACGAGUGUACAACUGCAAACGCGUGUACGCCCAUACACAGGGUGUGCGGCCGCACACACAUGUGCAGCCGUACACAGCCACAAAAAUACAUAUUACAUUAUAGAAAAAUAUAUUUUCCUAGAAUAGCAAAGUAUAAACCAUAUUUUUUGACCCAAUAAUCUCCCCCUUGGUUUAUAGCUUUCUUUUCUAAUUGACCGAACAAACUCCUCCAAAAAUGUAGAUGGCUCUUCUUGUCAAUCUUCAAUGGGAGCUUGGCUUCAGCGUUUAUCUUUGAUUUCUUCACAGCAUCAGGAUGAACAUAUGAAUCUUCCAUGAAUGACUUCACAAUGACCAGUUGGGCAUUUCUUCAAAAUUUGACUCUGAACGCACAUUGGGUGAGGAGGCUUAAUGAAAAGAUUCUUGAAAGAUAGCACUUUCAGCUUGAGAAUCUUUAGAGAGAAAAACGGAGAUAAAUAAUCUCCUAGAUCACUUCAGCAGGUUUAUAUAUAGCAGCAGAUUGAUUGAGGAGGCUACAAUGCAAUUUUUCAUAUAAUCUUCAAGCACAACUUGACCUUGCUUCUGGGGUUAAAGGAUUGAUUGUCGAAAGAAUAAUCUUCAUUUCUUGCUCCUUCGAAUGAGAAUUCUUCGAUGAUCACGGAUGAAGCUUUGGCUCAAAAAUCUCAAUACAGUCUCCACGAGUCUUAUCUAUGCCUGAAAUCACUUUUCAAGACAAAACAAAACUAAAAAAAAUUAGCACACAAAAAAUAUAUUUGGAUUUUUGAUAUUCUUUGAAAAAAAUAAAACAGAAAUAACAAUAUUUUUUUUAUUUUUGUUUGAUUUUUGAUUUUUUUUGUUUUAUUUUUUUUAUUUUUUAUAAUUCUCCCCCUAAAUUUGUGCAUAGAGGAAAACUAUGAACAAAUUUAAAAAAUAAAAUAAAAUGAUAUCUAACUUUAAGAAUGAUUUGUGAUCAAGGUUUUUAGACAGCCUUUAUCCGCUUGUCGGUACCUUUUAUAUUCACAUCUUUGUCUGGUCGAUCGCCGGUAUUGUUGUCCACUUAAACACAAAAAAUUGUGACAAAAUUAGGACAUACUAUAAGUAAUAAGACAAUGUGAUCCUAAGUUCCUAGAUAUUAUAUCUGAUCCUAAGUUUCUAGAUACUAUAUCUUAAGGACCAUUCAGCUGACGACGACCAGGGAUAUUGUUGGCCAUCUAAAUUGAGCAGCGAGAUCUAUAGACAAUCUUUAAGUGUUCAAUUUUCAUUGUACUGGAACAUGUUUCCCGCUUCCUAAUAUGCCCCAGUAAUCAAAGACUUCCAAAGUACUCCUUACAUCGGUUGAGCAGACAAUCAUUAGGAGAGAUAGAUUCAGAUUAUUAUCACUUAUAGUUUUAGAGGGAUUGAGAAGUAGAAGGUUGCAUAUGCUGUGUACCAGGUUGGAUUGUUAUUCACGCAAAGGAGACAACAUAUGGCUAACAAAUAAGAAGAAUUUCAUAGAUAUAAUAUGCAGAGAAAUAGAGUUGCAUAUGUUACAGUCCAGGUCGAAUUUUGAGUCACGCAGAGGAAGUAAUCAUAUGACUAACACACAGAUAGAAAGAGAAAACAAUUUUCUACAUACCUAAUUCAUCGGAAUUUACCAGUUGCCCCAUCAAUACCGGAAUUAAGGACAUAAUCCGCACAUCGAGGAAAAGUUAAACCACGGUUCCAGAUACAUGUUCGUUUAAUCUGACGAGUAGAUUCUCAUAUAUAUCUCCCUGCUCAAUCUAUCUAAGUGUCAUAUUGUCAGGCUAAACGGAUCUAACUAGGUUAAGAUUUUUCAAGUCUACACAUUUCCUGAGUUCAACUCUGCCUAGUCAUGUCCAUUUAGAAUCUUUCGUGCCUACUGACGCAUCAAACUAGAGAUAGACCCUUCAACUUUGGGUACGUUACGCAGACUUAGAUUGCCUGUUAUCACUUGAUAAUAUCACUUCCCAAAACAUCUCCCUCAAGCACAUUUCAUAACCAACAUAUUUUUUUUUGAUUUUCUGAUUUUGUAAUGUUUUUGGAUUUUUUAAAAUUUUAAAAAUUUUGUUUUGGUUUUAUUUCUCCCCCUAAAUUUGUGCAUAUAAGAGAAAUGAAAGUAAAUGCGCAAAUUUAAACUAUCCUAAAUAAAAAAAAUUAGUCUUUAAAGCGAAUCAGCUUAAGAAAAACUCAGGAGUAUAGAGAAGAAAACUCAAACCGUAAGUCACCAAUUGAAUUUACAUCUAGAAGGUCUGAGAACAGCACGCAUAAUCUCAUAACAGAUCCGAAAAUUCUUCAUGUUAUUAAGCACAGACCCCAUGUGAUCCCUUCCUUUCUUCCCUUCCCACAAAGGACACAUACUCUCAAACAAAGUUCUGAGUGUUGUACAUUUGAGAGAUGUCCCCUAUCAUGUGCCAAGAGCAGCCAUUAUCAACAAACCAAAGUCUGAUGAUAUGCCUCCAUAGCUACUCCGACACAGAGCGGGAUCAGUUGGUCUUUGGAACCCAGUCCAUUUUGAAACUGGGUCGACCUUUGUCAUCUUUGCAAGGAACAUUCUCCCACGACAUGUCCUGUUUGUCACAAACAGAAGAUGUUGAAAUAUUAUAAUCAUUAGAAGAUUUGGGAGAAUGGACCUUCAAAACCCAUUUGUAGUUAAGUUUAAGCCAUUUCUUUUUUGUUCUGAUGGGUGGCUCAGUACUUUCUUUCGAUCUUGAUGUUGGCCAUUGAGAUGACUUUCAUUUUGGCUUCACAGAAACAUCUCUUGGAUUUGGCUUCUUUGCCGACAUUCCCUUCUUGCCCUUGGGAUUUGGAUUCUUGGCGUUGUGGGUUUGAUUCUUGGCCUUAUGCACGUUCCAGUCACCAUUGUCUGAACGUGACCUGGAAGGGUUUCUUUUGGAGUAUCUCCCUCUUGGCGCGUUCUGCGACCCUUGUGCAUAGUAGGGAACGUAUGCGCGAUUUGGACAGUUUCGGGCAAUAUGUCCAAGUGUUCCACAGUGAAAACAAGACUUUUUCUUGACUGUGAAGUUGUUUCUUCCUGCCCCUGGUGGCGUAUCCUUGCCUUGUCUUUGGCUUUUCCCACACGCAUAGUUGCAACAGGCACUCUGUUUAGCUUGAAAUGGUGGCAUGUAUUUACCAACAGCAGGUUGAUUAGAAACAAUAGAUUCAGAGUUCAAGGGGUCGUUUGUUUGUUCAGUGGAACUCUCCUUGUUCUCAUCCUCUAUUACUUUGCCUACACAAGAAGUAGAAGUAGUAGUAUCAGCUCAACACCCUCAGUUGCCUAUUCAACAGCUGGUUAACCGUAUACCAUAAAUGGUUCUCGGUUAAUCUCUUCAUGAGUCAAAGGUUUUGCAGUACAAUUAUGAUUGAAAGGAGGAGGGACACUCUCAAAACCUAGUCCUACUUUCUUUUUGGUUUCCACAAGUGACAUCCUUGCACUGCAUUUGGUUUUCUAUUAUUUUCGCAACCACUUCGCUUGACCCAUCAAAUUUUUUAAAAUUGAAUUCAGCAUUUUUAAAACAUGUUUUCAAUAAGUCAAGUUCAGCGGUCACAGCUUUAAAUUUUUGUUUGAUAUGGUCAUAGUUCUCACAUUUGUUGCUGUAAUCCUCUUGUAAUUUCCUAAAUUCCUUGAUUUUAUUUUCUAGUUGAGUCUUUAAGGGAUUUUGGUUUUUCCUAAGUGUGUAUCCCUCAUAUUUUAAGUCCUCGUUCUCUCUCUUGAUUCAAUCUAUUGAUUCUCACAAAAAUUUCAUAGUUUUAGCACAAGAUGGAGAGCAACCGGAUUCAUUUACCUAAAUUGAUGUGGAACUCAUUUUUUUAAUUAAUUCUUUUUUUUUUAUUUUUUUUAAUUGCCCUUUGACUUAAAAAUAAAACGAGAAAGUCAACCUUAAAAUUCAAAUUUAAAAAAAUCAAAUUUAAAAGUCAAACUCAAAAAGUCAAACUUCAAAGUCAAACCGAAAAGCUAAAUUUAAAAAUUUGAAAGUUAAAUGAAAAAGUCAAAGGUCAAACUUGAAAAUCAAAAGUCAAAUUUUUUAAAGUUAAAAGAUAAAAAUAAAAUCAAAAAAUUAACAACUAAAAAUUUGGGUUGAAAAUGAAAUUUAGAAAUAAAAAGAAAUUGAUUUUAGGGUUAAAAGUGUCAAAAAUGAAAAAAUUGGGUCGAAAUGAAGUGGUUUUAAAUUAAUUUUGGAAACGAAAAAUCAUCCAGCAUCCUAGCUAAGCUGGAAAACGCGUUGGGGUGAUGAAGCUAACCAUCCGGGUUCGAUUCUUGCAAGCCUUGAUUUCCUUUUGAUUAUUUUCUGCUAGCUGAGAAGAGCUUUAACUUAAAAGGAACGACAUGUUUAACAAGUUCCUUGGAACAUCAAUUGGUAAGAGGUGUGUUUGAUGACUUAGAAGUCUUGAGUUUGAAUCUUGGAAGCCUCAAAAAAUCGUUUAUUUUUUUUAAAUGUACACAAUGCGAACUUCGGGCCCUGGCCGCACACGUCCCGACUGCACACCCGGGCCGCACACCUUCAACAGAUUCGCGAAAAAAACGAUGUUUUUCACCUUUUUUUUGCUCCAAAACUCGUUUUUAUGAAAAAUGCAAAGAAGAAACCCCCCUUAUUUUUGCGAGAUCUAUCAAAAAACGCAAAAAUCUCUUCAAAAUAAGAUCAAAUAAGCUCCAGAUCUGAAAAAAAAAUGAUUGAUACAACCAAGCUCUGAUACCAAUUGUAAGUCCCCAAAAUUGCUUGUGUAUCAAUCAGAGCCAAUUGAUGGUGCGGAAUCCCAAUCAAUUGGAUGAUUUCAGAUCAAUAUAGAAGAGAAGGAGAAGAAGAAUAACUUGAAUCUAAUGUAUUGAUGAUAUGAUUGGUGCUCCUUACAAUAUAUUCUCUCACACACACUAUUCUUCUCUCUAACUUUUUAUCUCUUCUCUAGCCUUACACUCCCACAUGCACUCCUAUAUUUAUAGCACUACCAGCAAUACACGAGUGUACAGCUGUAAAUGCAUGUACGGUCGUACACAGGGUGUGCAGCCGUACACACAUGUGCAGCCGUACACAGCCACAAAAUUACAUAUUACAUUAUACAAAAAUAUAUUUUCCUAGAAAAGCAAAGUAUAAACCAUAUUUUUUGACCCAACAGAAGAUAUCCUUAUAAGUCUAGAUCUAGGUUGUAAGGUCCAAAAGUCAACUUAAUGCAUAGGAAAUAGACCAUUAAGCCCUUAACCCACGGAAUCCUUAAUUCAAAACUUCAAGAAUCACUGUAGUGACCCUAAUGGACCCUAAAAAUGUAAACUGUAUGGACGUGCAUAGUACAUGCAUGUCCUUUUCCGUGAUUAGUUCGAAAGAUGCAAUAUAACUUAAGCUUUCAACAAAACUUCCCAAAUCACCACCAAUUCCUAGAUCUAUGACAUAUAAUGCUCUUAGAACAUAAAGAGAUAAUAAAGUUGCAAACUUUAUCUCUUCAACCCAUACAAUCAUAUCAAAGAGAGCAUAAUAUACCAUAAACUUAGGUCUAAGAAGAAGGAAAUGAAAUUUUGUAAAUUUGAGGACUUAGAAAGGGCCUGGAAGAUACCUACAAGUGAAAAGGAGGUUUUCUAGCUGAAUCAAGGAACUAACUCUUCUUCUUCUUCCCUCAAAACCACCAAGACCAUGUAAAAAUGAACACAAAAGCUUCUAAAGGAUUAUGGUUUGCAAAGGAGAUGUAUGAGGAUGAUGGAGGCUAAUAAGGAACCCUAGGUUCAUGGUAAUGAGGUUUAAAUAAGAGAAACCCAAAAAAAUCAUGGGCUUGGGCCAAAACAGCUGCCAUGUUGUGGCCAACCUAAUGCCACGUCGUAGCACAGGGUUUUGCAAGACUACAUCUUUAGUCCGUGAUAAAUAGAAGCUAAUUCAAUUCGGAACACGAUUGUUACAUGCAAGUUGAAUCUAUGCUCCAACGAUGAUCCCACCACCUUCAAGUCACCAAGACACCACCAAUGCUCAACAAAUCAUAAAUAGGGCUAGGUUUUCAUUUGAAAUGAGUGGAGGCUAAAUAGAAUACCCUAGGUCAUGAUUUAUGAUCCUUAAAUAUCAAAGAAACACCUAAAAUUCAUGGGCUUAGGCUGCAACCAUCUUUAUGAUGUGACCACCCUCUUGUCACAUCAUGAAAAGCCCUCUUGGAUACACAUGUCAUUUUCAACUUGUCACACUGUUAUCUCCAUAUGGUCAUCUCGUGAGACACAGUUUUACCCAAAAACCAUACCUUUGAAUCUUUGAUGCCCUAAACUGGUUCGUUCUAGAAACUUGGUGUUCGAAUUCUCCCCCAAUUAUAUUAGAUUUCAUCCUCAAAAUCAUUUCUCACUUAUACUCUUGAAGUAACCCCUAAUGAUUCCUUCAAACCCGACCCUUCAACGCGGGCUAAGAUCGAUGGAAUGCCACCAUCUAAAACCAUCGCCAACAAUGGUUCCAAGCCGAGCUCAUAAGCCAAUCCAAGCAGAGACUCCAAGGUCUGAAUCACCUCUAUUGCAACAUCUUUUAAGGAGUCAAUCAUCUCCAAAAAAUUAUGUAAACCUUAAAUUUUCUUGAAACCAUGUGACCUGAAGAAAUUAUGUUCACACGACCUCAUUAAACCAUCAAAGGAAGAACUUGAUUCCUUAUUCGUAACCUUUAGAUCCCAAAGUCUUACACAAAUUUCAAGUAGACAGAGCAUCCGUAAUUCUCACUCAUGCUCACCAAUAAUCGUAGACCUGAAUCGACCAAGACCUCCUGAUUUUGUGCCGCCCAUCAAAAAGUCAAAGAAGGAAACCACCACAUAUGUCAUAGCCGACAGUCCUUACAGACCGACACACCAACAAAAUUUCUAGCAAAGCCUAACAGAUGAGACUAGCCAACCUUCAUAUCAACUGUCCUGACCGGAAUCCAUAGAUUUGAUCGGUCCAAGGUCUUAACUGCCAGACAAUGCCCUACGGGAAAAUAGAACAUGAAGCCCAUGGUCGAUCGCCAUCAUUUCUAUCCUUGCAUAUAGACAUGUGUGGAUGAAAUUUUAAUGCAAAAUCAAUCAAUAGAAUAUUAAACUAGAUCGAUCAUUCACCCAGGUCAAUAGCUCUGUCAUCCACUGACGACACUUAGGCUUACAUCGAUAAACUAACCACUAACAGCACUCAUAACCUAACAUAAACACCCACAGAACCAGCAAAACUUAACUAACCCUACCUGGCCUUUGGUCCAUGACUUAGACUUCCAGACCCCAAUCAAAUAAGAACAGACAAGGAAGCUCUCCUCACAACCCUCAACCUAAAAUGCUAACACCAUAGAGCCUUAAAGCAUGAACACACCCUAAGAAUUACUAAGACAACCAAAACCAAGAAAAUUCAAAAGGAAAUACAACAACUUACGAUGGCCCUAAUGUGGAAAUUGGAAGAUUAAGAAGUUGAGAAAAAGUCCUGAACUGGUGAAAUCUGGCUCAGAGCUGAACCUUAGCAUACUUACAAGGUCUCUACUAUACUUACUUGGAAUGUCUGAGACUUUGACAGCCCCAAAACCCUUCAAAAUUCUAGGCUUACUUAAAUUGUACUACUCAGUCUCACCCUUGACAUCCAUAUACACAAGAGGAUUUGAACCCUCAGACAACACUCAAGAGCUCUAAAACCUAUGCAUAAAAUCCAAGGAAAACAAUCAAUAUAUUCCUAAACAAGAUAUCAAAAUAAACACAAACUAAUUAAAACAAUUUCGUUCAACUAGUCAUUCAAGAUUGUUACUGAACUUCGAAAUAGAAAUAGAAAAAUACAGAUGAUACCAACACUGUAGUAACCAACUAAAUCAAGGAAUUGAUAAAUCAAACUAUAAUACUUGUUUUGUGCAUUUUGACUUAAUCUUUGACAACUAUUAAGUUGAAAUAUGUUAUGUUUAAUUGCCUAAGUUUAGUAAUUAUGUGUGAAAACAUCGACAUUAAAACAUUAUAAUUAUAUAAAAGUUGUGUAAUACAUUUGAAUGAGGAAAAACUUUAUGAACGAUUCUCAUGAUGUGAGCAAUGAACCUCAAACCGGGAGCAAAAACGGUAAAACAAUAUACACAAAUAAAUAGUGGGGGCAUUCUACUUUGGGGUGUCACAACAUGAGAGGAGAUAAAUCACGACGUGAGAGUGUAUGCUACCUCAUAUAAUUAGUGAUGGAUCCCAUUUUUUGUAUUAAAGAAAAGUCACGAAUAAAGCUUACAAUGUGACCGAUUAGCCCACGACAUGCGUACAAAGCUCACAACGUGAGCAAUGAAGUUCACGAUGUGAAGACGCAUCAGAUGUUAAAAGAAGUUCCAUCCUUAAAUAGAGUAAUUUGAUUCCAAUUCUCUAGAAACACAUACUAAGAUGCGAUUUACACCUAGUAAACCCUCCUAUGUCCGAUUUAAUAGAGAUUGAAGUCAUAUACCACCAUUUUUUUGAGUAAAGGUAAGAAUAAUCAUCUAUAAAACCAUUAUUGUGAAAUUCGGGCAAAGAUAAAAGGUUCUAGUUGAAACCCUAGACGAUGGGUUUGAUUCAUUUGAUGAAAUUGGGAUGAUAUAUGAUAUAAUAUGGCUUAAUUCCAAGUUAGUAUCAUACUAUUGAACCUUUUAUGUUCAAUUUGAUUCAUGAGGGUUGGGUUCAUUUGUAAAUAAAUGUGAAUUUAUAAAAUAUGUCUUCAAAUGUUGGAUUUUGAUGUAUGUAAUUAUAUAACAAGUAAGUUAAAUGUUACAUCCGGGCUUCCAGGUAUAUAUUUUAUUUAUGUAAUUAUUUUGAGGACUAUUGAGCUAAUCGACGAGUCGGUGCUACAACUCGUCGAGUAGAGUCGCGUCGUGCCAUGCGAAAUUAAUGGCCUACUCGACGAGUACAAGAGUCGACUCGCCGAAUAGACAUUGUGAUGAGAAAGCCUAAAUUCCCGAGGUUUAGGACCUAUUUAAAAGCACUUUUAGCCUCGUUUGCGGCUACCUUUCUUUGAGAACAAACCCUAAUCGAGCCUUGAGCCUUGAGAGAGAGUUUUGAGCUAAUCUUGAGUUUUUUUUGUGCACCUUUUGAAGAAGAAGAGGAUGACUUCAAGCCAAGAGACAAGAAGGAGUUAUUAUAUAUGUGGUUGCUUCAUCUCAUAGCUUCUAGAAAAGGUAUAAAGCUUGCACCUUUCUCAUUUUGUUGUAUACAUCUCAUGUCUUGGAAAUUAGGGCUUUUUCUAGUCAAUUGGGGAUCUAGAUUGUUUUAAGUUCCUUUAGAGGUUUGGACUUUGGAUCUGGAUCAUGUGAGGUCCCUAGAGCCAUAAAGUCCCUGCUUUAUUUAGCCAUGAUAAUGAUCUUGAGUGAAAAACUCUUUCUAAGGUGUGUUUUGGCAUUUCAAGCUCUAAAUGUCAAGCAUGCAUGUAAAGCCCGUGACUUUACAUGAUAAAGGAGCCUUAAGAAUGUAGAUCUAGAGUUUGGAAAGGUUUUCUGCCUUGAAUUCGACUGAAUGAGAUGAGAGUCUGAAUGGACUCGCUGAGUCGAGGAACCGACUCGAUGAUUCGGAUAGGGUUGUCCUGGUGGUUUUGAUUAUGCAACAACUAUCACACCCCGAAACCCAGGGCGGAAACGUUCUGGGGUGGAGGUGACUUCAUGUUGAGUAUCACAACCAAUGUACAUAGUAAGCGAAAUAAACAAACAUUACAUUACAUAUUAGAAUUUACAUUUGUUUGAAAACCAAGACUUAUAGUUGUUAUACAUAUGUAUAUAAGAACAAAAGUAAAGACGCAACUUCUACGCACUCCGUCUUCGCCAAAAAGGAUCACUGGGUACCUGUCUAAUGUGGACCUGAGAAUACAAGCAGUUUUGAAAAUCAGCAUAAAGCUGGUGAGUUCAUAAGUGGUUUUGUUUUCUGAAAAUGUACAAGUUUCCUUUUGUUUUCUGAAAAUGUUACACACCCAAGAAAAUCCCAUAUUUUCUUAUAUGUAAAGCUUGGUUAUCUAUUUUGUUACACAAAUCAGGUUAUGAACAACUGUUAUCCCAGGAAAAUCCCAUAUUUUCCUAAAAUUUGGUUACCGAGCUGAGAUGUAAUGUAAAAGAUGUAUACUGAAAACCUGGUUAUCCUCGUGAAAUGUAUUAGUUUUAUCAUGUAUGUAAAACUAAUAAGUGUAAAGUAAACUGGUUACUAACCCAUUAUUACUAACAAGUAAAUCUCUGUUAUCCAAAUUGCGAGUUCCAUAACCAUACGAUAGACUAGAUAUGGCAAUAAGUAGUCCACAUCACCCUAUGACUUUCGUCACCACUGAACCUUUCGGUUCAGCUGUAGCUAGCAGCCAGGUGUGGGGUAGUCAGCCCCGUAUAGAUCUAUACAAUCAAGUGUAACAGCCCGGAUUCCCAGGUAUUAUUCAUUUAUUUAUUUUUGUUAAUUUGUGAGGAGACUCGGCGAGUUGGAGCCUAGACUCGCCGAGUAUGAUUGCGGAUUUGGACGCGGAUUCACGUCCGGACUCGGCGAGUCCAAGAGUGGACUCGGCGAGUCCAUGUUGUUUAAUGAAACCCUAAUUUCCCGGCCCUGAGCCCUAUUUAAAGGACCUUAUAAACCUUCAUUGCGGCUACCUUCGACCUUGAGAGCACCAGAGCAUCUGAGAGUCCUUGUGAGUGAGAUAAGAGGCCAUUAUUCACCAUCUUUAUGUGUGUUUGCAAGAAAGGAAGAGGAAGGCCAAGCUAGGAGAGUUGGGGAGCUUGGAUCUACUUCCAUUUCGGCAGAGGAAGCUAUUAGAGAUAAUAUUCAGAGCUUAUUCUCGUGUUUUUAUUGAUAUGGUCAAAUCUAAAGUUUCUUCAUGCCUUGUUUGCCUUGUAAUUGGAGUGUGAGAGGUCCCAUGGGGAAAUGGUACCUAGAUCUGGACCUUAGUAGGUCCAUAGAGUCCCAAAUGCUCUGCUUUAUGCCUUUCCUUUUGAGUUGGGGACUUAGGUUACCAUUUUAGAUGUCAUUUCACCAAAAGAAGCCUUGUAGGCGUUGUAUGGUAGCCAAGAUUGUAACUUUACGUGAUGAAUGUGCUUGGAAGUGCUGGAUCUAUGAGUUAAUGGAACGGAUCUGACCUCAGGAGUGUGUUUGAGUUCAUGCAUGGCUUAAACUCGCCGAGUCCGAAGAACAGACUCGGCGAGUAGCAUGAAGAUUUUCCCUAACCACUCAGCGAGUGGUCUUGCCGAGUUAAGGGGUUGACUCAGUGAGUCAGGGAGAGUUAGAGAGGGUUGACAGGUGGACUGAGUCGAGCUGGAACUCGCCGAGUUGUUCUUGAGACUCGGCGAGUUGAGUCGUGGUGGCCCCGCGAUUCAUGCCAGGUGGAACUCGUCGAGUCAGGGAAGUACUCGACGUGUCAAAAGAGGAUCCUAGGGAGUCAGUGAACACGUAUAGACUCGCCGAGUCGCUCUAGUGCACUCGCCGAGUCCGGUCAAAGUUGACCGUUGACCGGUGACCAGAUUUGACCAGUGUUGACUUGAUGGGGGUAGUCAACCUUAGUUGAGAAAGUGUUAAUUAGAGAUAUAUUGUGUUAUAGGAGGAUUAUAGCUCGGAGGAUCGAGCGCGAGUGAUUUCCGGGAUUUGCGAGUUAUCGAGAUACGCGAGGUGAGUCUUCUCACUAUACUUUACCUUGAGUAGGUAAUCAGAGUUAUGUGACAAAGUAUUUGUAUGCUAUAUGUAUGUUAUGUGUUGUACUGCAUUAUUUCUAUGUGAUUUAUGUUGUGCAUGUUUAUAGAGUUGGAACCGGAAGGCUCCCAGAGUUAGAACCAGUGGGUUCACAGAGUAGGGUCUACGGACCCACAGAGUUAUAGCCUCGAGUGGCUAAUAUGUGUUAUGUGUGGUAUUUUGGGGAACUCACUAAGCUUUGUGCUUACAGUGUUGGUGUUAAUUGUUUCAGGUACUAGUGAUGACCGUGGGAAGGCGCCGGCUUGAUCAGUACACACACAUGGGAUUUUUAUGAAAUGUGAUCUUGGGAUACUUGUAUGACAUGGAUUGGAGUUUCAAACUUUGAUGUUUUAUGAAAAAUUAAAUGAAUAUGUUUUUAUAUUAUGCGAAAAAUUAUUUUGAAAUUCACGGUGUUACAUCAAGUCACACUCUCCCUCCAGGAGAUUCUGGUUACGGGGGCGGUCCUCCACUCGCGUAACUCUGUGGAGUGUUUCUGAGGACGUGUCUCUAAUUUCUAGGACUAACAUAUUUACUAGUAAUAAUACAGAAAGAUACUGUUACAAACGAUGAUCCUCCAGUCACGUAUCUCUGUGGAGUGUUACCGAGGACAAAACAAUGUACUAGGUUUCAUGGUCAAAGUUCAAAGGUUAUUCUCUAAUUUCUAGGACUAACAUAUUUACUAGUAAUAAUUGGUUACUAACCCAUUAUUACUAACAAAUGUAAAUCUAUAUAUGUAAUGUAAUGGUUGUUUACUUUGCUUACUAUGUACAUUGGAUUUGAUACUCAACGUGGAGUCCGCCCCGAAAACGUUUCCGCCCUGGGUUUCUGGGUGUGAUAGCAACUCGGCGAGUUGACGUGUCAACUCGGCGAGUUGAGUCGAACUUUUGAAUGAUUCUAAAUAUGGAGAGUAGACUCGUUGAUUCCCAUAUGUGCACUCGACAAGCAGGGUCACCAUGGAUUGUUGACUCGGGGUUGACUCCUGUUGACUUUAGGGAUUGGUCAACCAUGUCUUUGGGAAACCAUGGAGGGGUAAAAUGGUCUUUUUCCCAUUUCAAGAGAGAGCAAGAGAGAGAGCGUGAUAUGUAACAUCCAAAAUUUCGAAACAAUUAAAACUUUUCAAAAUCACCCAUUUUAUUAACGUUGUUACAAAAAGGUUUCCAAUACAUUAUUAAACAGAGUAAUUUCCCAGGUUCAUAUUAUAAAACAUCAAUGCGAGGAACGGUACGAUCACGCCUUUGCCUUGCCACAGACUCUUGAGAACCUGAAACAUAAAACCACAACUGUAAGCCCGAAAGCUUAGUGAGAUACCCCCAGAAUACCAACCACAUAUACGCCUUUCCAGGCCCUGACCUUCCGGUCCGUCACACAACAUAAUCGCCUUCCGGCCCGUAACAUAUUGCCUUCCGGCCCAUAAUAUAAUCGCCUUCCGGCCCAUGACAUACAUAGCACACAUAUAACAAAUCGCUUACCACAUAUAGCAUACAUAUCACAUAUCAUAGCAUUACUCUUAUAAGAUACCGGUCUAGCCGGUCACUGUCAUAACAUUACUCUAUAAAUCAGUCAACAUACUAAAUGCAUACAUUCGUCUUUCCAGGCCAUGACCUUCCUAUCCACAUAGUAAUGCCUUCCGGCUCAUAACAUAUAACAACUUACAACUACCCGGAUUUCCAUCCGAUAAACGGGUCGGCCUUAGUGCCAUAAACCCUAGCGAUAUAGUGAGGAUAACUCACCUCGAAACUGCCGACUGAACAGAUAGCUCAAGCUGCUCCGAUCACUGAUACGAUCUCCACCUCUAGAUAGUCACCAAUGCACUGAACUCACACAAUAACAACAAUUACCAAAAUAUCCCUGGAACCACUGGUCAAUCAUUGAUCAAAGACAAGGUCAAAGUCAACCCCUGACUGACCCUACUCGUCGAGUCAACCCAAUGACUCGCCGAGUCCCCAUACUCAGAACUUUACUUAACCCGCGACCUAACUCGCCGAGUCACCCCAAGACUCGCCGAGUUCAACGACUCUGAGUCUACUCGUCCUUGACUCACCGAUUCCUUAAGAUUCCCUUCCUACUCGUCGAGUAUCCCCCUUUUUACUCGACGAGUUCCUCCUGGAAGAAUCGCGGGGCCACCCCGACUCAACUCGCCGAGUCUGAAGAACAACUCGACGAGUCCCAGUUAUUCUUCAAGCUACUCGCCGAGUCUGUUCAUCAGACUCGUCGAGUCCAUGCCAUGCAGUCGAUCAAACUGCUUCCUGAGAUAAGUAUUGUUCCGAAAUACACAAGCAUGGGACCUUCUGGACCUCUAAGGUCCUAAUACAGGGUUAUAGUCGUUUGGGUAACAAGGGUAACACUUAAUCUAAUCACAAGGGGUUCCAUAAACCCUAAUUCCAUAACACAUCAACAUAGCAGAGGAUAAUUCGAGUUCUUACCUGAAUAAUGCAUCCUCUGUGUCCCCAAUCCUCAGAAUGUGACUCCCUUGCUGUUCCUUUAGCCAAUCCCUUCUCUUUCUUGCACAACAAUUCCUCCAAGAUCAAUAAUGGCCCUAAGACCUUGCUCCAAAUGUACCCACUCGAUUUAGGGUUCUUCCCAGAAGGCUAAACUGAACAAUGACGGCCAAUGAGUGCCUCUUAUACGUCCCAAACCUGAACGGUUAGGGUUUUCGCUAAACAGCGUAGACUCGCCGAGUCCAUAUCGGACUCGUCGAGUCCAGUCGCGAACCCGCGACCCGGUCUGUGCUCCUACUCGGCGAGUCAAGGCUCCAACUCGCCGAGUCCCUUCUUAAAACACCCCCAAAACAUAAUUAUAUCAAUAUUUGAAAUUCCGGGCUGUUACAACUCUCCCCCACUAGAACUAGACUUCGCCCUCGAAGUCUCACUCUGCAAACUAGCUCCGGAUGCUGCUCCCGCAUCUCACGUUCCAGCUCACCGGUCAUUUCCGAUCCCCUCCGGUGCUGCCACCGAACUAACACUAGAGGUAUCUCCUUAUACUUCAGAACCUCGAUCUUCCGUCCUCUGAUGACCACUGGCUUCUCGGCAUAAUUCAGGCUUGCAACCACCUGAAUGUCUUCUAAUGGAACCACUGCCGACUUAUCGGCUAUAAACUUCCUCAAUUGCGACACAUGAAAGGUGUCGUGGAUCUGUCUCAAAUCCGAGGGAAACUCUAACCGCUAGGCUACCCGGCCUACCCCCGCAAUCACAUGAAAAGGCCCAAUGUACCGGGGCCCCAACUUGUCCCUCUUCUUGAAUCGAAUCACUCCUCUCUAAGGGGAGGCCUUCAGGAGUACGAAGUCGCCGACCUGAAACUCAAGCUCGGAUCGGUGGCUGUCUGCAUAACUUUUCCUGUCGGCUCUGGGCGGUCAAUAACCUCUGUCUCAUCUGCUCUGUCGACUGAAGCCCGAUCUCUGUACUGUCCAUCGCUCUCUGUAACCGAGAAUUACCCAAAAUGCAACUCUGCUCAAAAUCUCCACAAUCACUCGACCCAUAAGGGUUAGGAAACUAAGAAUCACCGGAUCCCCGAUCCAAAGCCCACUUCGUCCAUUCCGGACCGACUGAGAGAUCCAUUCUCACUCUCAGAGCAACUCUCACAAGUUCUCCUCCUGUCAUCACACCCACAUGCUGAACUAACCCCAACACCCGCAGGUUAGAAGACCCGAUACACUGAUGAUAUCCUCGAACAUCUCCCAAGAUGAACCACUACAUCCACCCUACACCCUGAUCAGAAUCACACUGGAAAUUUAAGAUUCUCUCUCCCUCUGCAUCCCUUCCGAGCCUCAACAGACAUCCCCAACCCGGAUGGGUUCCUAUUUCGCUGCCGCGAACACGAUGCUCGAAGCCAUACUCGAAAUACUCUAACCAUAACUCUGUUCUGCAGCUUUCAUUCUCGUGAACUUGCACCCCCUUUCGGAGUUACACACCUUUCUCUUUUCCUUCCAAGGGACCCUCUUGGCCAUAAUGCCACUCCAACCGGUGCGACGGUGCUUGCCCCAAUCGACACCACCCUUUUUGCGUGACUGCUAUUCACAUACUCUGGUUCUCACUGCAGGGCUCUCAAUCCCAUGCACUCUCUCCACUCAUCAAAAUCACUGCCUCAGCUAACAAGAUCACUAACCCGGGGCCAGACCUUCCAAUGCAAUCACACUGUAACAUACACGAUCCGCAAUCUCAAACUGAUCCAGCAAUACCAACAGAGUCUCCAGCAUGACUGGACCGACUCUCAUAACACAUACUAGCCACUCGAGGCUAGAUCUCUGUGGGUCCGUACACCCAAACUCUGCGAACCCUCAGGUUCUAACUCUGGGAACCUUCUGGUUCCAGCUCUAGAAACAUGCACAACAUAAUCCCGUGGGAUUAAUGCAGUACAACUAAUCACGUACCUCAAACAUACCAAUACUCUGAUCGCAUAACCCCGGUUACUUACUCAAGCUUGAUCCCGGCCUUCUCUCAGGCCUCCACAAUCAAAUGCCCUAGGUCUGUAUCCCGCCCCGCAUACCCGACACUCGCUCUCGUCGGCCUAUACUCUGCGCUGACAAACACUGCUGAAUCCCAACAGCUAAGCACCCUCACAUACUCAUCGAUCUCCCGGAGAAUUCUCCAAUUCUCCCCCACUAAAGCACUGACUAACUGCCACCGAUCGUCAUUAACGACCUUUCAGAACAAUCCUGCACAAAGAGAACAUUUACACACUGACUGCUUCCCACAAGCAUAAGCAACCCUCAGCAAAACACAUCUCCUCCCUGAUCAAUCCACUCAAAAGAAUCCGGUCUUUCAAUUAUCCACUCUACGACUGCAGAUGCUACCCGACAUUCAACCCAGUGCCGCAUCUCCACUAACAACCCUCACGAACGAUAACCAACGGAAUUCCCAACAAUAACCCGUAACCAAACCCACAACCUGCCAAAGGAUGAAUACCACAUCGAAAACCGCACAAGGCUACCGGCACCAAAACACCAAACUAUAACCAUACCAAACCAUCAGGGAACAACGAAUGCCAAAGCGAAAACCUGAAGCACCAAUCCAUAACCAUGCCAAACCCGCGAAACAACGAAUACCGCAUCGAAAUCCACACAAGAUACCAGCACAAACAAUACGCCACAAUCAACGCAAGGCAAUCAAGACAUCAAGAAAGCAUCAUACCCGCAGCUGCCUCCGGCACUGCUCCGUCUCCCUCUGCCGCAAGCCGAUAAGCACGACCCUGAGCCCUUGAGCUCCGCUCCAUCCUGUCCUCCUCCUGAACUCCUCGAGGUGGCCGGUGCUAGAGCCUGCACCGGUCCUGCAGAAAGCUGUGGACGGUUGACCCUCAAAUGUCCAACCUGCCGACACUGAUAACAAAUCCUCAAAUCCCGAAUUGGCACUGACUGCCGACAAUCCCGUGCACCGUGCCCCUCCUUUCCGUACUUGCGGCAUGCACCACCGGACCAGCAAGCUCCGGUGUAACCCCUCCCACACUUCCCACAAGUGUGGCCGCUCCGAUCCCCCAUUCUAACAUCUACGGUCCUGAACCGUUUCGGCGCCGACUGCGACUGCAUCGGGGCCUGCCUCAGCUCACGCAACUGCAACUUCAACCUCUAACUCACGCCACAUGGCGGCCUCCUGCAACUCCAACAAGGUCUCACACCUCCGCGCAGACACGAACUGCCUGAUAUCCCUCUUGAGCAUACUCAGAUAUCGGGACAUCUGAGCCUGCCCCGAAGCGAACUCAGGGCAAAACAUCGCCCUCUCAAUAAACAUCCCGGUGAUCUCAGUCACCGACUCCAAAUCCUGCUUCAGCUCGAGGAACUCCCGAGCCAAUCUCUCCUUUUCAUCCCGCGGAACAUAGCGAGUACUGAACAUCUCUCUGAAUCGAUCCCAUGAACCGCAGCCCUCCGUGCAUCGGAAAAUGACCUCGUAGUCAAUCUCUACCAAUCCUUCGCUCCUAGCCUCAACAGGUUCAGAGCACACUUCACCCUCUGAUCAGCAGGGCAUAAACUCGUGGAGAAAUACCCCUCCACGUCUGAUAACCAUCUCAUAGCAACAAUCGGGUCCUGAACUCCAUCGAAUGUGGAAGGCUUUGCAGAAUAGAAAUCCCGAUACUGAAAACCCCGACUAGCCCCUUUCUUUACCGUUGCUACAGCCGCUGUAACUGCCGUGGCAGCCGUCUCUGCGAGAGCCGCAUAUCGCUCAUCAAACUACUCAAUCAUAGUGGUCCUGAUCGACCCAAACCAUUCUGGCAACUCAGCCCGUAACAAUGCAGCAACCUCAUCACGCAGGAUCUCGCGAAUCCUCGCAUCCCGCUCGCUCGUGCUCGUCCGAUCGAUAACCUCCGACGGCACCGAUCCACCCGGAACUCGCUCUCCAGCUCCCGAUCCUGAUCCGGAUCCACUAUCGUCAUGCCUCGAGAUCUCCAUAAUGAAGACACCCUACCAAUCUCAGACACUUCCCAAAAUCCUGGGAUCCAACUCUCGCAACCCUACCCUAGAGACCAUGGUUUCCCUGAUACGCGUAUGGGUCCUGUGCUUUCAGUAGUACGGGCCCAUACUACCUUCCACACCUACCCAUAUUUGUAUGAAGUACUACCACAAUACCCUAGGGAACAUGCAUAACAACUAUCAACCCUCACCACUAGAGGAACACUGAGAAUAUCCCAUAAGGGACCCUAGGCUACAGGCAUCACAAAUCAGGCAACAUUAUCAUGAAUUCCUGAAGAUCCCUAGCCUAACUCUAGCAUGCUGUGCUAUCAAGCUCAAAUAAACAAUAUCAAGUAUGGUAUCUUGGGGUUACUUACUGGCUCCGGCUGAUCGUACCUCCGCGUCCUCCUUUACCAAAUUUGAAAACCAUUUUGAUUUCUAAUUUUAAUUUCUCUUUUUAAAAUCCUCCUCGAUUUGAGACUGGAGUCACACGAAUGUUUCCCCAAUUCACUCAAACCAAGGCUCUGAUACCAACUUGUAACAUCCAAAAUUUCGAAACAAUUAAAACUUUUCAAAAUCACCCAUUUUAUUAACGUUGUUACAAAAAGGUUUUCAAUACAUUAUUAAACAGAGUAAUUUCCCAGGUUCAUAUUAUAAAACAUCAAUGCGAGGAACGGUACGAUCACGCCUUUGCCUUGCCACAGACUCUUGAGAACCUGAAACAUAAAACCACAACUGUAAGCCCGAAAGCUUAGUGAGAUACCCCCAGAAUACCAACCACAUAUACGCCUUUCCAGGCCCUGACCUUCCGGUCCGUCACACAACAUAAUCGCCUUCCGGCCCGUAACAUAUUGCCUUCCGGCCCAUAAUAUAAUCGCCUUCCGGCCCAUGACAUACAUAGCACACAUAUAACAAAUCGCUUACCACAUAUAGCAUACAUAUCACAUAUCAUAGCAUUACUCUUAUAAGAUACCGGUCUAGCCGGUCACUGUCAUAACAUUACUCUAUAAAUCAGUCAACAUACUAAAUGCAUACAUUCGUCUUUCCAGGCCAUGACCUUCCUAUCCACAUAGUAAUGCCUUCCGGCUCAUAACAUAUAACAACUUACAACUACCCGGAUUUCCAUCCGAUAAACGGGUCGGCCUUAGUGCCAUAAACCCUAGCGAUAUAGUGAGGAUAACUCACCUCGAAACUGCCGACUGAACAGAUAGCUCAAGCUGCUCCGAUCACUGAUACGAUCUCCACUCCUAGAUAGUCACCAAUGCACUGAACUCACACAAUAACAACAAUUACCAAAAUAUCCCUGGAACCACUGGUCAAUCAUUGAUCAAAGACAAGGUCAAAGUCAACCCCUGACUGACCCUACUCGUCGAGUCAACCCAAUGACUCGCCGAGUCCCCAUACUCAGAACUUUACUUAACCCGCGACCUAACUCGCCGAGUCACCCCAAGACUCGCCGAGUUCAACGACUCUGAGUCUACUCGUCCUUGACUCACCGAUUCCUUAAGAUUCCCUUCCUACUCGUCGAGUAUCCCCCUUUUUACUCGACGAGUUCCUCCUGGAAGAAUCGCGGGGCCACCCCGACUCAACUCGCCGAGUCUGAAGAACAACUCGACGAGUCCCAGUUAUUCUUCAAGCUACUCGCCGAGUCUGUUCAUCAGACUCGUCGAGUCCAUGCCAUGCAGUCGAUCAAACUGCUUCCUGAGAUAAGUAUUGUUCCGAAAUACACAAGCAUGGGACCUUCUGGACCUCUAAGGUCCUAAUACAGGGUUAUAGUCGUUUGGGUAACAAGGGUAACACUUAAUCUAAUCACAAGGGGUUCCAUAAACCCUAAUUCCAUAACACAUCAACAUAGCAGAGGAUAAUUCGAGUUCUUACCUGAAUAAUGCAUCCUCUGUGUCCCCAAUCCUCAGAAUGUGACUCCCUUGCUGUUCCUUUAGCCAAUCCCUUCUCUUUCUUGCACAACAAUUCCUCCAAGAUCAAUAAUGGCCCUAAGACCUUGCUCCAAAUGUACCCACUCGAUUUAGGGUUCUUCCCAGAAGGCUAAACUGAACAAUGACGGCCAAUGAGUGCCUCUUAUACGUCCCAAACCUGAACGGUUAGGGUUUUCGCUAAACAGCGUAGACUCGCCGAGUCCAUAUCGGACUCGUCGAGUCCAGUCGCGAACCCGCGACCCGGUCUGUGCUCCUACUCGGCGAGUCAAGGCUCCAACUCGCCGAGUCCCUUCUUAAAACACCCCCAAAACAUAAUUAUAUCAAUAUUUGAAAUUCCGGGCUGUUACAUGAUAACUUAGUUAUUAUGUGAUUUAAAGAGUUAAUUAGAUGUGAUUAUCUUGUAUGAUUAGGCGGAGGCUAGAUUUGGUUAUUCGUGUGCGAGGAGUAUUCAUUCACUUAGCUUACUUACGCGGUGAGUCUUCACAUUAUAUUUACCAUGAGUGGUAUCUUUGUGUGACUGAGAUGUCUUAUAUGCUUAUUUUUAUGUGUGAUAUUCUGCAUUAUGUUUCUGUGAUUUAUGCUGAGAAUUAUUAUUAUGAGUUUCCUGAGUUAGGACCAGAGGGUCCACCCGAGUAUGGGACCGGAGGGUCCCACUGAGAUCCAUGGACCGGGGGGGUCUUAUAGAGAUAUAGCCUCGAAUGGCUAAGGAGCUGUGUUUGGUAUUUUUGGGAACUCACUAAGCUUUAUGCUUACCGUGUUAUGUGUCAUGUGUUUCAGGUACUUCCGAGGAUUGCGGGAAGGCACCAACGUGAUUGUACACACAUCUGAGCUAGAGUUAUAUUUUUAUGGAUCCUGGAUUGUGAUAAAAACUUUUGAAAACUAUGUUGAUGACUGAUAUUGAAGUUUUUGAGAAAUGGGAACAUAUGUAAUUAAAAAUGAAAAUUUUGGUUUGAAAAUUUCCAUCGUUACAAGUUGGUAUCAGAGCCUUGGUUUGAGGGAUUCGGACGCACCUUUUGGUGUGUUUGAACUCAAACCGAGGAUUUGAGAAGAAUUUUCAAAAGCAAAGAAUUAUUCCAAAAGAGAACGAGUUUUAAGAGAAACAAGUUGAAGCAGUGUGUACAAUCAGUCAGAGCCCAAACGGUGAUUUCCCAAAAUACCCUUACUUUUGUGUUACGUGAUAUUUAAGAAAUAUAUUACUGAAGUUUCAUGCUAGGAACUAGGCUAGGUAUUUCAUAUCUUAGGGGUAGAGUUGCCUGAUUUGUGAUGCCUUAGUCUAGGGAUGUUUUGAUCAAGUGUUAUUUGUUAUUGUCGAGUAUGUGCUGAGUUCUGAGUCAGGAGGUAAUCUGGGAAGAGAUACUUAGAUGAGCCUAAUAGGGGUCUACUAAGAGAGUAGCCUCUGAUUCGUGAGAUAUAAAGUAUUUCGGAUUUAGAAUCCUAGGAGGAGGACUUAGGGUGACUACAGAUAGGGUAUGGAAGGUAGUAUUGGACCCAUAUUACUUAAAGCACCCGAUCUGCAGGCAAUCCAAGUAAGAAUCCUUAGGAUGCUAAGUAACAAGUAUGGAUGAUUAGUCGAGUGUGGGUAUACUCGAGCGGGUCUCUGAUUGUUUUGUUUUGUGUUUUAGAGACAUCAUGGUAGGUACACGCUACAACCUUGAGAGUAGUGGAGUGAGCAAUGAUGAGAUUCGUAGGAUGAUUCAUCAUGAGGUGGCCGCAGUCAUCCGAGAGGCUAUUCUGGAGAUGUUUGGGUCUAUAAAUACCACCUUGAUUGAGACGUUUGAUGAGGGAUACGAUGCUAUUACCAAGGUUGUUGCUGCUGCUGCAGCCACCGCAACUGUCGCUACUGUCAGGCCGCAGGGAGGUGACUCGUUGCUGUACCGGGAGUUCAACAACACGAACCCACCAGAGUUUGACGGGACUCAGGAUCUGAUUGCUACGAUGAGAUGGAUCUCUAAUGUUAAGGGAUGCUUCUACACUUGCUCCUGCCCUAAGCAUUUGAGGGUACACUUCGCACUGAACCAGCUUCGCUUGGGAUCGAAGGACUGAAGGAAGAUUGUGAUGGCUAGUUUCACCCCUACAAAGCAUGCUGCAGUGACUUGGGAGAGAUUUGUUGCGAUGUUCUGAGAUUAGUAUGUUCCCCUUGUAAAGAGAAAACGGUUGGCCUAGGAGUUUAUUUCUCUUAAACAGAAGACAGAGCCGGUGACUAUGAUGAUGCAGAUGUUUCACGAGAGGGCAUUGUUUUGCCUUGAGCAUGUGGCGACCGAGCAGGCUUGCAUGAUUCGGUACUUAAGCAUUCGGAGGAGGGAUAUUCGGGAGUUCAUGGCGAACUCAUCUUACCAUACAUUUGUUGAGCUCCAGGUGAAUGUCAGGAGGAGGGAGAUCGAGCUGGAGACUCAGGCGAGGGAGGACGCAGAGUCUCAGGGGAGAGACCGGCGACCGGCGCAGUCGCAGCCGGCAGCCAAGAUGGCUAAGCCCGUUGAUCCGAGACUAGGAGGCUAGAAGGGCCGCAAUCUUGGAAACUGCGGCAAGAGUCACGAGGGAUCUUUUCGGGCGGGGAUUGGCUGCAAAUGUGGAAAAGAGAGGCAUAUGGCGAAGGACUACCCCAAGGGUUUUGCAGUCUGUUUCCACUGCAAUCAGACCAACCAUCGAAAGGCCGAGUGCCCUCAGCUUGUACAGGUAUCAGCACAGGAUUCCACUCCUUUUGCAUUGCGUGUUACUGAUGCUAGGCUGGUGGAGGCCGAGGUUCCGAAGGCUCGUGGGAUAACUUUCCAGCUGACAGUGGAUGAGGUCUACGCAGCACCUGAUGUUGUGGCUGGUACGUAUUUCUUUAUUAUCCAUUUAUUUAAUUCGAGCUUCCCUUUGUGAUUAUCAUGUGCUAUAUUUAGGUACAUUUCUUGUGAGUUCUGUACCUGCUCUAGUGUUAAUUGACUCCGGUGCGAGUCGAUCAUUCGUGUCUAUAGCCUUUAGUCGUCACACUAGCAACCGGCAUGAGGCGUUGAGUCGACCUCUGACGGUUUUUAUAGCAGAUGAGCAUGCAGUUUUUUCUACUGAGGUAUUCCGAGGAUGUGUGCUGGAGAUUUUUGGUGUAGAGUUUCUGAUUGACUUGGUACUGAUCGCAAUUGGUGAUGAUUGUGUCAUCUUGGGCAUGGAUUGGUUGAGUUGUUUUGGAGCUGUGAUCGACUACGAGUGUCAGUUGGUGACCACAUGAGACCGUAGUGGGGGAGUGCUUACAGUGUAUGGCGAGGGUACCCGAUCUGAGUUAGCAUUCUGCUCGGCUGCCAGAGCGAGACAGAGACUACAACAGGGUUGCAGGGGUAUUGCCGCGUACGUGAGGGAUACGCGGGUUGCUUCUAAGAGAGAGUACUAUCACUGAGGUUCCGAUAGUGAGUGAGUUCCCGAAUGCUUUCCCCAAGGAGUUACCGGGUGUGCCUCCCGAGUGGCAGGUUGAGUUCCAGAAUGAUUUGGUUCCGGGAGCGGCGCCUAUUGCCAAGGCACCGUAUCUCCUUGCGUCACCUGAGAUGCAGGAGUUAUCCUCACAGCUCCAGGAGCUGUUGGGGAAGGGAUUUAUCAAGCCAAGUAGUUGACGCCCUGAGGAUGAUCGAAGAGGCUUUAUACCAAAUUCUCCAAGUGCGAUUUCUGGUUACGAGAGGCCUAGUUCCUGGGACACCUCGUUAAUCACAAUGGGAUUUUGGUUGAUCCGGCCAAGAUUGAGGCGGUUAUGAGAUGGGAGGUGACGAGAUACCCUACCGAUAUCUAGAGUUUUCUGGGAUUGGUCGGCUACUAUUGGAGAUUUAUAAGAGAUUUCUCCAAGAUUGUCGUCCCCCUCACCAGGUUGACCCGUAACAGCGUUACUUUUACUUAGGGUCCCGAGCAGCAUACCUUAUUUGAGACUCUUCGCCAUAGGUCGUGCGAAGCCCUGGUGUUAGCCCUUCCCGAGGGAAUGGAGGACUUUGUGGUUUACUAUGAUGCAUCUAUAUCCAUGUUGGGUAUGUUGCUAAUGUAGAGAGGGCGCGUGAUAGCAUACGCAUCGAGGCAUUUGAAGCCUCAUGAGACGAGAUAUCCCACCCAUGAUCUAGAGUUGGGGGCAGUGUUGUUCGUCCUCAAGAUCUGGCGCCACUAUUUGUACGGGGUUCGGUGCACCAUAUACACGAACCACAAGAGCCUGAAGUAUCUCAUGGAUCAGCCCAACCUGAAUAUGCGAUAAAGGAGAUUGUUGGAUGUGGUGAAAGACUAUGAUUGUGAGAUCCUGUAUCAUCCGAGUAAGGCUAAUGUGGUAGCUGACGCCCUGAGCCGCAGAGUAGAGAGUGCCCCGAUCUGAGAUGUGUGUAUGAGGAUCAUGGUGAUGACUCCAGUCUUGGAUUCCAUUCGAGAGGCCCAGGCGGAGGCCGUGAGACCGAAUAACUGCAAGGGGGAACAGGUGAUUGGGCAGGUGUCCAAGUUUAUGAUGGAUAGCCGAGGGCUUAUGACUUUCCGAGGGCGGAUUCAGGUGCCCUAUUCGGGCGGAGCUCGGCAUAUACUGAUGGAGGAGGCGCAUAGAUCGAGAUUCUCGAUCCACCCCAGGGCCACUAAGAUGUAUUUGGAUAAGAAAAGGGACUACUGGUGGCCCUGUAUGAAAAGGGAUGUUGCUUGGGUAGUUAAGAGUUGCUUGACCUGCCGCCAGGUCAAGGCAGAGCACCAGCGUCCACAUGGUCCAUUGCAGCCUCUGGAGAUUCCCCAGUGGAAGUGGGAACAGAUCCUGAUGGACUUUAUCACCAAUUUACCGAGGACUACGGGUGGAGUUGAUGCCAUUUGUUUGAUUAUAGACCAACUAGCAAAGAGUCCUCACUUCCUUGCUAUUAGUGAGAGCUCUUCUGUGGAGAGAUUGGUCGAGAUCUAUGUGAGAUAGUGGUAGCAAGACAUGGGGCUCCGAUCUCUAUCGUGUCAGAUCAAGACGUGUGUUUCACUUACAGGUUUUGAAAGAAAUUUCAUGAGGGCUUGGGCACAUGCUUAAAUUUCAGUACUGCAUACCACACACUGACGGACCGACAGAGCGAUUGGACAAUUCAGAGGCUUGAGGACAUUUUGCGUGAUGUAUCUUGGACUUCGGAGGAAGUUGGGACACCUACAUACCACUGGUUGAGUUUUCUGAUAACAACAGCCAUCAUUCGAGUAUUGGUAUGCCUCCUAUUGAGCUUUUGUAUGGGAAGAGGUAUCGGACUCCCAUUUGUUGGGGAGAAGUGGGUCAGAGGGUGAUGGGUAGCAUGGAGAUAGUGUUGAAGACGACCGAACGGAUUCAACAAGUCAGAAAGAGUUAACUGACGGCCCAGAGUCGCCAGAAGACUUAUACGGAUAGGAGACAAUCUGAAUUAGAGUUUUAGGUCGGAGAUUUUGUACUCCUGAAGGUAUCCCCAUGGAAAGGGGUGAUCCGGUUCAGGAAGCGAGGCAAGUUGGGGCCCCGAUACAUCGGUCCUUUCAGGGUGACCGCUACAGUGGGUAAGGUAGCAUACCAUUUGGAGCUACCUACGGAGUUGAGUCAGAUCCAUAACACCUUCCACGUAUCUCAAUUGAGGAAGUGUGUAGCCGAUGAGAUAGCAUAGUUCCCUUAGAGGACAUUCAGGUGGAUGCGAGCCUGAAUUACAUUGAGAGACCAAUUACGAUCAUGGAUCGAAAGGUGAAACUUCUGAGUAAUAAGGAGGUACCCCUGGUUCAAGUAUAGUGGAAACAUCGAAGAGGGUCCAAGUUGAAUUGGGAGCCGGAGUCCGAGAUGCGAGAGCAGUAUCCAGGUUUAUUUCCAAGGCAUGACUUCGAGGGCGAAGUGUGAUUCUAGUGGGGGACAAUUGUAACAUCCAGGCUUCCAGGUAUAUUGUAUAUUUAUGUAAUUAUUUUUAGGACUAUUGAACUACUCGACGAUUUGGUGCUAUAACUCGUCGAGUAGAGUCGCGUCGUGACACAUGGGAUUAAUGGACUACUCGACAAAUACAAGAGUCGAUUCGUUGAGUAGAUGCUGUGAUGAGAAACCCUAAAUUCCUGGGUUUGGGACCUAUUUAAAGGUACUUAUAGCCUCAUUUGCGGCUACCCUUCUCCGAGAACAAACCUUAGCCUUGAGAGAGAGUUUUGAGCUAAUCUUUAGUGUUUGGUGCACCUUUGGAAGAAGAAGAGGAGGAAUUCAAGCCAAGAGAGAAGAAGGAGUUGUUAGAUCUAUGUUUGCUUCAUCCCAGAGCUUCUAGAAAAGGUAUAAAGCUUGCAUCUAUCUCAUUUUGUUGUAUAGAUCUCAUGCCUUGGAAGUUAGGGCUUUUUCUAGUCAAUUGAGGAUCUAGAGUGUUUUAAGUUCCUUUAGAGGUUUGGACUUCAGCUCUGGACCAUGUGACGUCCCUAGAGCCAUAAAGUCCCUGCUUUAGUCAGCCAUGAUAAUUAUCUUGAGUGAACAACUAUUUCUAAGGUGUGUUUUGGCAUUUCAAGCUCUAAAUGUCAUGCAUGAACGUAAAGCUCGUGACUUUACAUGAUAAAGGUGUUGGGUUUUGAGCAUUCUAACACUCCUAAGUGUACAUGCAACCCUAAAUACCUUGGAUCUAUGUAUUUUCUAUUAUACAUGCAAAUAUGAGUAUUCCAAGGUAUUAUCUUAUCUAGCAUACAAUCUAUGAUACUUGGGUAAUAAAACAAGUUAGAAUACAUACCUUGUUGUUGUAACUUGUCUUCAUGAAGCUUGAGUGCCUAGUGCCCCAUGUGUGACACCUCAAAUGCUUCACAUAACACCAUUAACACCUGGAAUAACCUUGAGAAUAAGGAUACUUUGGUUCUCUCUAGUGAAAUCGGCCUUUCCCUUUUUGUGUACACACAAUAGUACCCAUUUCACCAACCAAAGACAUCUUUAUAUAGUGUGGAGAUUAGGGUUAAACCCUAAUACCCAUGACCCUUCAUUUCAUAUGAUCCAUGGGUUAAACACUCCAUGGACUAUCCUUCAAAGCUUAGCCCAACCUAAAUGAACUUGGCCCAUAUCGCAUAUCUAUCUAAGAUUCCAUAUUUAAUUAGUUCCUUUUGAUCAUUUAAUUAAUUAAAAAUUAAUUCUUGAUCAAUACUAAUUAAAUAAUAUGAUUAUAUAUUAAUAUAUUAGAACUUAUAAUAUAUUAAUAUAAAUCACUAGUAUCCUUUUUCCUCAUCUUGUCAAUGCAAUUUUCCCGAUGCCAUGCAACCCAAAUGGACCAUGCCGGGUCCGGUCAUGUCUUACCAAUUAUAGUUAUGGACUUAGACAUUAAUCCAACAGUCUCCCACUUGGAUAAGUCUAAAACUAUUAUUGCAAGUAUGACUUUAUAACCCGACUAGCAAUUGUAGCUCUCAAAAGCUUCUGUCAAACUCUGACCUUGCCGAUGAACUUUGACCUUUGUGAAUGACUUGUCCAUUACAUAAGGGAUCAUAUAUUCCUCCAUUCUAGAUAUCAUAUGGACUGAUACAUGGAUUAUUAAUCAUUCUCUCUGUCCAUUUGUUGUUUCCCGAUUUCCGAUUUAUGAUGACUGACUGAUUGAACAAAUCAAAUCAGUCAUGGGUUAGCCAAGCACUCACAUGUGUCAUCACUAAAUCAUCGAGGGGCCUACAGAUAUCGCUUUUAUCCCGAAGGUAAAAGGAAUGGAUAAACUUUGACUCGUAUGGCUUGUUCUACUACUUGUUGAGUCAUACACAAGGGCACGUUUUAUAACAUCGAGUUACCAAUGUGUUUUCGUGCAAUCAAUGUAUAACCAACUCAUAGUAACAACUCAUAUCUCUAGGUUUGAAUAAUAUAAGAUAUUAUCAUCUCAUGAUCACUCGUGAUAAAAUCCAUGAAGUGAUUCAAUUGAGCGUGGGUUGAAUCCAAUACUCAAAACAUAUGAGCACUCAUAAGUGCUAUGGCACCACUUUUUCCAACAUCUUAGACCUCUACAAGCCAACCCAUGACAAUCUUGAUUCAUAUCUACUUCCAACAUACAACCGACUGUGGAUUGUUUGAAUAACUUAGUCAUUCAGGAAGAACAAUCUAGUUAUUCUGGAAGUCAAAACAUGCAAAAUGAAACACAAUAAUAAUCGAAUCCCAUAUGGUCUCGGAACAUAUGAACAUAAAUAAAACACCUUUUAUUUAUCACCAUAUUGAUUAUGCAUUAUUCAUUAUAUACUGUUUCAAACUAUCAACUUUAUACUUGAAUUAAAAACACUAGUUGUCCCAUGUUCCAAGCAUGUACACUAUGUUUUUCUAAACAAUAGCCUUGCCAUACACCAAGUAUGCACUUUUAUGUUUUCUAUGAUCCUUACAUUGUGAACUAGAUCGAUUGAACAUAAUUUCAAUGAUUCUCUUUUCACACUCCAAAAUCCUUAUCGAAAAUGUAAGAAUUCCAAAUUCCUAUCAUUUAUCAAAAUCUGUUAGAUUUUAAACUUAUAUGCAUUGAUCCUCUUGUAAUGAUUAUGCACAAAGUCACAAAGACUUCUCAAUAGACAUUAUAGAGUAUUCCAAUGGAGAUCAACUCCAUGGAAACAUCCUUCUUGCAUUAAGUUUUCCUAAUCUUACGCAAAUUGAAUAACUUCCAACUAUAGAGACAACUCCAUAUUCCCAUUUUGACUAACACUCCUGAACAAGAGUUGCCUCUUUUCAGAAUAUGUAAAUAUGGUCCUUCAAAAAUUAACACUAUACUUCCAAUUGUCCCUGAGCAACUAAUCUUUGGUAACCCUUAGAUUGUCCUCGACAAUUGCUUAAUCGUUUUAGUCAUAUCCAAUUCUAUACUUUUUCCCUCUUAAUGCCCUAAACAUUUGGAAAUUUUAGAAAGGAUGAAUAUUAUAGCACAUGCAAUCGAUCCUAUAUCCGAAGCAUAUGAGACACGAUUCAUGAUUUCUCACAUAAAGACAUGAUACUAGACCAGUCUUUGGCUACAAUAUUUCAAUUUUUUUAUUUUCCAUGUUCUCAUAAUUCAGAUUAUGAAAAGGGAUGUCGUAAUCAUAAUCAAAUUUUUAGAACGCAAAUAAUGGACCCAUAUAUAGAAUUUCUUUAUGUUGAGCCAUUCCAACACAAAAAAUUNGGAGCAAUAUACAGAAUUUCCUUAUGUUGAGCCAUUCCAACAUGAAAUUCAUAUAUAUAUAUAUAUAUAUAUCCUUGACUAAGAUGAUUAAAACCUCAAUCUAAGCUUUUAGAAUUGAAAUGAAGUAUAAUUUUCUCUCCCUUAAUUAUCGCAAAACAACUUUUUCAACCCCUGUAACCUCACGAAUUGAAACUUUUGUUUUCUAUAAUUAACAUUGCUAACUUGCAAUACUUAUCAUAAUUAUCAUGCUCCCACUAACAUGAUGAUCAUUAGCAUAACACUUAUGCUCCCACUAGGUUUGACAUGUACUCAGAAAUGACCUGGACUUCUAGGAAAAAAUACUUUAUUGACUUUCUAACCAAAGUUCAGAUUUAUGAUACUAGAUUGCUUUGAUAAGACUUGAUCAAAAUCAUACACCUUAUCUUAGAUAGAUCACAGGUGUGUCUAAACAAUUUUAGAACUAUGAAAAGUGAUGUCAUAAUCAUAUUCUCAACUGUUUAGAUCUUUGCUAUUUCUCAUAAGUCCAUGUUAGUGUGCCAGUUAACCACGCAAGCUCCACUAAUAAAUUUGAGAUUGCAAAGAUUACUAUCUACUUAAAAUCUACUUGGUGGAAGUGUUUCGUCACCAUCAUUUUCAUGAAUCGGAGAGAAACCUUAUGACCCUUAUAUACUAUAUGUUAGAAACAAGUGUGAGUCGGAAUGAUAUUUUCAAACUAUGUUGUAUACUUUUCAAACUUCAAAAAUGUACUAUUUUUACUCUGAUUCAUAAUCUAUGGACUUACCAACUUUAUGUUGACGUAUUUUUAAAAAUGCAUGUGUUUUUAGGAAUUUGAUAAGCGGGGAUGUUUCUCGAAUAAGGGAAAUUUUAUUGUUAUCCUUUCUGUUCAUAAGGAACAUAUAUAUGUUAAGACAUGUGCGAUAAUUCGGAUACUAUAUAAUAAUCACUACGAAACAAGAAUAAUGUAACUUUCUAUAAUCAAUAAAGGUACGUAAUUUAUAAUAAUUCUUUUGUAAAAUUCAAUAUAUUUUUGAUAACUAUGAUACAAGAAUGAAAUUAAUCUUCCUGGUGUUUCCACAGCCGGAUGGGGUGUAACAUGUAAACCCAUGGAUUUUUCGGGAUGAGAUGACCCGAUAGCUACUAUGACAUGGUUAACCCACACCGACAAAAUGUAUCGUACUAGGAAGUGUGUAGAGACAGUUAAAGUGGAUUAUGCCACUAACUUACUGAUUGUUGUAGCCUAUUUUGGGAGGGAAAUGAUAAGUAGUACCUUAGGAGAAAAGUUGGCGGCCAUUUUAACUUGGGAGCAAUUCAAGGUAAAUUUAUAUGAAAACUAUUGUUCUCAAACUACAGUGCGACAAUUGGAACAAGAAUUUUCCCAAUUUGUGCAAGGAGAAAAAUCAGUUUAAGAAUACACAUAUGAAUUUAACGAUAAGGCUGAUUUUCAAGACAUUUAGUUGAAAUUGAAGAGGGAAAGAUCUACAAAUAUUGAUGGGGAUUAAGGACUCAGAUACGUGAAUUCGUAUGGGAUUUUAAGUCUACCACUUUUUUUCGUGUAGUAGAUGCUGCAAGAGAUCGUGAAAUAGAAUUGAGAUGUCAAGAUUAAGAAAGGGAAAGGGGUGGAGAUAGAGAAGUAAGAGGAGAAAAGUACCACCUGGAAAGCAGGCCUGAAGAAUCUUUACAAAGAGGAAAAAUGUCAAUAAAAUCAUAUCCUACCGAGUUGAUAAGAGAUGAUGACAAAUGAUGUGAGGGGUGUCAGAAAAAAUCAUGUGGGAAGUUGCGACAAUAGUUCGGUACCAUUAAAAUGUUUCUAGUGCAGAAAGACAGGGCACACCACAACAAAUAGUUUGGCAAGAAAACCAUUAUGUUUUAACUAAAAAGAGAGUGGUCACUUUUAUGCGAAUUGUCCAAAGGCGAAAACUAAGGUGCCAAGAAAUGUUGGGCAAAAUGAUUGAGGAGGGCCGAAGCAUAUGAAGAAAAAUGAAAUAACAUGGAUGGUUAUGAGAGCACGGGCUUUUGAAAUGACUAUUGAAGAAGCUAAAGAGAAACCUGAUGUUGUUUCAAACACUUUUACUUUAAACUCACUUCCCGUAUGUGUUGUGUUUGAUUUUGGCGCAACCUUUUUUUAUCAAGUCAAUUUGUUGAGAUGAUAAAAAUACCAUUAGUUCUAUUAGAUGAUAAUAAUAGUAGAAAUGAUUGACGGGAAUCAAAUUCUUGUUACACAUGAGUAUUUAGAUUUUCGGUUUAAAAUUAACAGGAACUUCUACCCUAUCAAUUUGAAGCUAAUAACUACCAAGGAAUUUUAGAUGGUCGUGGGGAUGGAUUCGUUAUCAAAAAAUAAGGCUCAUACUUAUUUUGAUUAGAAACUACUUAUUAUAGAGUCUCUCGGUUAGCCUAAGAUAACCAUACGAGGUCAUAAAUGAUUUGGCAAGGUUUCGAUAAUUUCCAUUGCGAGAGAAAUAAAUGAUCUUGAGAUUUUCAAGGAGUACCCUGAUGUGUUUUCGGAUGAGUUAGCAGGAUUACCUCCCAAUCGACAAAUAGAUUUUGCUAUUGAUAUAAUACCUGAAGCCUUCCCUGUAGCAUGAGUUCCAUCUCAAAUAGAACCAUCAGAGAUGGAAGAGCUUCGUAAAUGGUUACAAGAGUUGAUAGAUUAAUGUUUUAUACAUUCUAGUUCAUCUUCGUAGGGUGCACCUAUUUUAUUUGUUAAGAACAAUGAUGAUACCAUGUGUGUGUGUAUUAACUGUCACGAGUGUAGGAUCCUAUUUCGAACGAUCGGCUUGUGUAGAAUAAUGAGAGAUCUUGAGAUUCAAUGAUAGUAAAACAUAUGAAGAACAAAUGAAGAUGAGUAAUAUGAUGAUUUACUAGAAAAUAGAGAAUAUUACAAUGAAGAACACAUGGGAUGGGAGAGAGGACUCUCAUAUUCUCUCUUACUAGAGAAAGAGGUUACAUUUUGGUGCACCCUAAACAAAUGACCAUAACAUUCUAUUUAUAGAGACAGAUACCUUACAAACAAUAAAAGGGAAUAAAAUAACCUAACUAUCACUCAUAAUUUGUGGAGCAUUUUCAUGCUCCAACAAUCUCUCCCCAAAUGCCCACAAAUAAUGAGGGAUAAAAAUAGAGUGAUAAAUGGCUAAAAUACAUAGUAACCAAGUAGCAAGUGUGGUAGUAAAAUGAAACAUAAUGAGAACCAAAAGUUGAAGUGUCUCUGAAACUCUGACAUGUCUGUGAUGAUUUAUGAUGUUGGCUACAAAUCUCUAAUCGGUAAAGGUCUUUGGCUUCAAAGGCACCACUAUUGCGGAAGAAAAAUGAGAUCGAGGUCUUCACACUUUUCACAAUCUCGAUGAUCAAGUUGAAGAUCCCAUCAGAAAAGCACUUCGACUUCAAAUGUCUGAAACAUCUCCAGUUCUUGAAUCAUAAUAUACCCAAAAUUAUUCAAAAGAGUAACCUGCUAAAAAUAUGAAACAUUCUGAAGUAGUGUCUGAAUAAUAAAUAAGCUAGGUCCAGAAAACAUAUAGUAAGGCCAAUAAUUGAUCAAAAAAUGACAAAAAAUCAGUGCCACGUCAAGUCACAAAAUAAAUCAUCAUUUUCAAAAGUCUCGAAAAUCCAAUCUCAAACAAUCAUAAAAUCUGAUCCAGAUGCAAACAUAAUAUGCUCUCCUUAUUUUUGGUGACCCAUGCCCAUAUAUCAAAAAUAAAUAAAUCAAUCAGGAUGGAGAGUGUCGGACACCAAGAGGUUCGCAUGUCUCCCUAGAUGUAAGAAGGAUCUUGGUAAAACACAAGACAUAAUUUAUAUUAAUCCUUCCAAGGUCAUAAGUAGCCGGUUUAUUCUGUCGCAAAAACUAUCUUAACAAAUACCAAAGUAACAAUAAGAACUUUGCAUUAAAACCUCUAAUGCGCUAAAAAACACUGAUGUACCUAAAUUGUGGUGACGGAACUCCUAAAGUGACUUCAAUCAAUAAAAUCCACUUGCUCAAGACACAUUGUUUGUCAAUCGAAGAUCAAGAGCGACAAGUCAUAAAAAUCCUGUAGAGCGAAGGUUGCUAGACAACUUUUCUUAUCAAACAAAAUUGCGGUGCAAUCAUCGCGAAGAAAAAUAUGAUGUCUGAAUGCGGUAUGGAGGAUAACCGGUCCUAAGACACUGAUCCAAGGAAUGCCGGUCGACAGACCUUUAUUAAAGAGCAAUCCUCAUGCAAAAACUAAUAAAAUUCUUCCAAUUUAAUCAACAAUAAGUAAUCCGUCGUGAGGAUCAAAGUUUGAGUAAAUCUUCAAUAAUAAUCUCUUUUGCGAAGACAAUAAAUCAAUUCUAGUAAAAAUAAUUCUUCGCAAAAGUGAUUUCGAUCACGGGUUGCAGUGGCAAAAAUUGGUUUAAAAAAAUAAUUGGUAUUAAUAAAAAAAGGAAAAAAAAAGUUUCUAAGGUAUUUGUUGGCUUAGGCGUUUUUGCGAAAUAAAAAAUUAGAGUUAAAUAAAAUAAUUGGUGUUAAACAAUAAUAAUAAUAAAAUAAUGAAUGUUAAAAAAAGAUAAAUGAGAGUUAAUUAAAAAAUCGGUGUUAAUUAAAAAUGGGUGUAAAAAAACAGGCAGAAAAAUAAAAAAAGAUAUAAAAAUAAAUAAUUAAAAAAAAGGCUCUAGUGGAAGAUGGUUAAGGAAUGCGAAGUUGGGGAUAAAAAGGUGAAGACUGCAGUGAAAGGGGGUGCUGAAUGUUAUGGGGACGGAAGUUCUAGGGGGUGGAAAUGGAACUCCAGUGGUGGAGGGGGGUAUCUGCGGUAUGGACCGAAGUGUAGGGGCCAUGGAUGAAACUUCGGUAUACAGGUUGAUUUGCGAGGUUUAAAAAUGCGAGCGAGGUGUAAAUGUAUCUUCUCAAAAAAAAAAAAAAAAAAAAAAGUCUUCAGUAUGAAAAAUUUAACUGCGGUGAAGUUGUGGGACCGAAGAGUGAGACAUGUGAGGAUUGGUUGGAGGGGAUAUAAGGGGUGGUGCUGAUAUGUGGUAUGAAAAAAGAAACAAUAAAAAAACAAACAAAAAAAAGGCAAAAGGCAAAUAAGGGUGGUUGAUGUCGGGUGGCACAUGAACAGAUAGCAGGUCUUUGGGUAUAGGAGGCAUAUGAUUUAGUCUUUAAGCCGGAGGGAGUGGUGCCAUCGAAAUCGCACUCCCUCUUCCGUCAUAUAAGCGUCAUGUCAAUUUAUACCAAACAAGUGUGGUUUCUUG